rnacentral:lncRNA from 1 species
AAGCCAUGAAAAUGGCCUCCGGACCCGUUUUCGACCGUGAAAACAUGUGCUAUAGGUCACGGGAGCCCGAAUACGGUCACACCAGCAGCCGAGGUCGAAAACGUGGGGGAUGGUCCGAUGCCGUGAAAUUGGCCUCCAAACCUGUUUUCUGCCAAGAAAACGUGUGCUAUAGGUCACCGGAGCUCGAAUACAGUCACACCUGCAACCGGGGUCGAAAAUGUGGGUGAUCGUCCCAAGCUGUGAAAAUGGCCUCCAGACCCAUUUUCGACCAAGAAAACGUGUGCUAUAGGUCACGGGAGCCCGAAUAUGGUCACACCGGCAACCGGGGUCGAAAACGUGGGGGAUGGUCCCAAGUUGUGAAAAUGGCCAUCGGACCCAUUUUGGGCCAAGAAAAUGUGUGCUAUAGGUCACGGGACCCCGAAUACGGUCACACCAGCCACCGGGGUCGAAAACGUGGGGGAUGGUCCGAAGCCGUGAAAAUGGCCUCCGGACCCGUUUUGAGCUAGGAACACGUGUGCUAUAGGUCACGGGAGCCCGAAUACGGUCACACCGACAACCGAGGUCGAAAACGUGGGGACUGGUCCGAAGCAGUGAAAAUGGCCUCCUGACCCGGUUUCGGCCGUGAAAACGUGUGCUAUAGGUCACUGGAGCCCGAAUACGGUCACACCGGCAUCCGAGGUCGAAAACAUGGGGCAUGGUCCGAAGCCGUGAAAAUGGCCUCUGGACCCGUUUUCCAGAAAACGUGUGCGGUCACGAGAGCCCGAAUAUGGUAACACCGACAACUGGGGUCGAAAACGUGGGGGAUGGUCCGAAGCCGUGAAAAUGGCCUCCGGACCCGUUUUCGGCCGUGAAAACGUGGGCUAUAGGUCACGAGAGCCCGAAUACGGUCACACCGGCAUCCGGGGUCGAAAAUGUGGGGGAUGGUCCGAAGCUGUGAAAAUGGCCUCCGGACCCAUUUUCUGCAAGGAAAACGUGUGCUAUAGGUCACAGGAGCCCGAAUACGAUCACACUAACAACCGGGGUCGAAAACGUGGGGGAUGGUCCGAAGCCGUGAAAAUGGCCAUCGGACCCAUUUUCGGCCAAGAAAAUGUAUGCUAUAGGUCACGGGAACCCGAAUACGGUCACACCAGCCACCGGGGUCGAAAACGUGGGGGAUGGUCCGAAGCCGUGAAAAUGGCCUCCGGACCCGUUUUGAGCUAGGAAAACGUGUGCUAUAGGUCACGGGAGCCCGAAUAUGGUAACACCGACAACCGGGGUCAAAAACGUGGGGACUGGUCUGAAGCCGUGAAAAUGGCCUCCGGACCCGGUUUCGGCCGUGAAAACAUGUGCUAGGUCACGGGAGCCCGAAUACAGUCACACCGGCAUCCGGGGUCGAAAACGUGGGGGAUGGUCCGAAGCCGUGAAAAUGGCCUCCAGACCCGUUUUCCGCCAAGAAAAUGUGUGCUAUAGGUCACGGGAGCCCGAAUACGGUUAUACCGACAACCGGGGUCGAAAACGUGGGGGAUGCUCCGAAGCCGUAAAAAUGGCCUUCGGACCCGUUUUCGGCCGUGAAAACGUGUGCUAUAGGUCACUGGAGCCCGAAUACGGUCACACCGGUAUCCGGGGUCGAAAACGUGGGGCAUGGUCCGAAGCCGUGAAAAUGGCCUCCGGACCCGUUCUCUGCUAGGAAAACGUGUGUGGUCACGAGAGCCCGAAUAUGGUAACACCGACAACUGGGGUCGAAAACGUGGGGGAUGGUCCGAAGCCGUGAAAAUGGCCUCCGGACCCGUUUUCGGCCGUGAAAACGUGGGCUAUAGGUCACGAGAGCCCGAAUACGGUCACACCGGCAUCCGGGGUCGAAAAUGUGGGGGAUGGUCCGAAGCUGUGAAAAUGGCCUCCGGACCCGUUUUGAGCUAGGAAAACGUGUGCUAUAGGUCACGGGAGCCCGAAUAUGGUAACACCGACAACCGGGGUCAAAAACGUGGGGACUGGUCUGAAGCCGUGAAAAUGGCCUCCGGACCCGGUUUCGGCCGUGAAAACAUGUGCUAGGUCACGGGAGCCCGAAUACAGUCACACCGGCAUCCGGGGUCGAAAACGUGGGGGAUGGUCCGAAGCCGUGAAAAUGGCCUCCAGACCCGUUUUCCGCCAAGAAAAUGUGUGCUAUAGGUCACGGGAGCCCGAAUACGGUUAUACCGACAACCGGGGUCGAAAACGUGGGGGAUGCUCCGAAGCCGUAAAAAUGGCCUUCGGACCCGUUUUCGGCCGUGAAAACGUGUGCUAUAGGUCACUGGAGCCCGAAUACGGUCACACCGGUAUCCGGGGUCGAAAACGUGGGGCAUGGUCCGAAGCCGUGAAAAUGGCCUCCGGACCCGUUCUCUGCUAGGAAAACGUGUGUGGUCACGAGAGCCCGAAUAUGGUAACACCGACAACUGGGGUCGAAAACGUGGGGGAUGGUCCGAAGCCGUGAAAAUGGCCUCCGGACCCGUUUUCGGCCGUGAAAACGUGGGCUAUAGGUCACGAGAGCCCGAAUACGGUCACACCGGCAUCCGGGGUCGAAAAUGUGGGGGAUGGUCCGAAGCCGUGAAAAUGGCCUCCGGACCCGUUUUGAGCUAGGAAAACGUGUGCUAUAGGUCACGGGAGCCCGAAUAUGGUAACACCGACAACCGGGGUCAAAAACGUGGGGACUGGUCUGAAGCCGUGAAAAUGGCCUCCGGACCCGGUUUCGGCCGUGAAAACAUGUGCUAGGUCACGGGAGCCCGAAUACAGUCACACCGGCAUCCGGGGUCGAAAACGUGGGGGAUGGUCCGAAGCCGUGAAAAUGGCCUCCAGACCCGUUUUCCGCCAAGAAAAUGUGUGCUAUAGGUCACGGGAGCCCGAAUACGGUUAUACCGACAACCGGGGUCGAAAACGUGGGGGAUGCUCCGAAGCCGUAAAAAUGGCCUUCGGACCCGUUUUCGGCCGUGAAAACGUGUGCUAUAGGUCACUGGAGCCCGAAUACGGUCACACCGGUAUCCGGGGUCGAAAACGUGGGGCAUGGUCCGAAGCCGUGAAAAUGGCCUCCGGACCCGUUCUCUGCUAGGAAAACGUGUGUGGUCACGAGAGCCCGAAUAUGGUAACACCGACAACUGGGGUCGAAAACGUGGGGGAUGGUCCGAAGCCGUGAAAAUGGCCUCCGGACCCGUUUUCGGCCGUGAAAACGUGGGCUAUAGGUCACGAGAGCCCGAAUACGGUCACACCGGCAUCCGGGGUCGAAAAUGUGGGGGAUGGUCCGAAGCUGUGAAAAUGGCCUCCGGACCCAUUUUCUGCAAGGAAAACGUGUGCUAUAGGUCACAGGAGCCCGAAUACGAUCACACUAACAACCGGGGUCGAAAACGUGGGGGAUGGUCCGAAGCCGUGAAAAUGGCCAUCGGACCCAUUUUCGGCCAAGAAAAUGUAUGCUAUAGGUCACGGGAACCCGAAUACGGUCACACCAGCCACCGGGGUCGAAAACGUGGGGGAUGGUCCGAAGCCGUGAAAAUGGGCUCCGGACCCGUUUUGAGCUAGGAAAACGUGUGCUAUAGGUCAUGGGAGCCCGAAUAUGAUAACACCGACAACCGGGGUCGAAAACGUGGGGACUGGUCUGAAGCCGUGAAAAUGGCCUCCGGACCCGGUUUCGGCAGUGAAAACAUGUGCUAGGUCACGGGAGCCCGAAUACAGUCACACCGGCAUCCGGGGUCGAAAACGUGGGGGAUGGUCCGAAGCCGUGAAAAUGGCCUCCAGACCCGUUUUCCGCCAAGAAAAUGUGUGCUAUAGGUCACGGGAGCCCGAAUACGGUUAUACCGACAACCGGGGUCGAAAAUGGCCAUCGGACCCAUUUUCGGCCAAGAAAAUGUAUGCUAUAGGUCACGGGAACCCGAAUACGGUCACACCAGCCACCGGGGUCGAAAACGUGGGGGAUGGUCCGAGGCCGUGAAAAUGGCCUCCGGACCCGUUUUCCAGCAAGGAAAACGUGUGCUAUAGGUCACGGGAGCUCGAAUACGAUCACACCGACAACCGGGGUCGAAAACGUAGGGGAUGGUCAGAAGACGUGAAAAUGGCCUCCGUACCCGUUUUCGGCCGUGAAAACGUGUGCUAUAAGUCACGGGAGGCCGAAUAUGGUAACACCGACAACCGGGGUCGAAAACGUGGGGGAUAGUCCGAAGCAAUGAAAAUGGCCUCCGGACCCGUUUUCGGCCGUGAAAACAUGUGCUAUAGGUCACGGGAGCCCGAAUAUGGUAACACCGACAACCGGGGUCGAAAACAUGGGGGAUGGUCCGAAGACGUGAAAAUGGCCUUCGGACCCGUUUUCGGCCGUGAAAAUAUGUGCUAUAGGUCACGGGAGCCCGAAUACCGUCACACCGGCAUCCGGGGUCAAACACAUGGGGGAUGGUCCGAAGCCGUGAAAAUGGCCUCCGGACCCGUUUUCUGCCAAGAAAAGGAGUGCUAUAGGUCACGCGAGCCUGAAUACGGUCACACCGGCAUCCAUGGGAGUCGAGGGCAGGAUCAAGGCGCAUUUCACUUCAAGACCAGUUGUCAGCCGAUGAUUACUCAUCUCUGAUGAAAGGGGAACUCGAUGAUUUGGCUGGCCAACGACUAAGGGCUCUGAUAAGUAUCGAAGAGAAUAAAAAGAGAGUGGCUAGGUGGUACGAUAAGAAGGUCAAAGUCAAGCAGUUCUCCCCUGGAGACUUGGUAUGGAAGUUAGUACUACCGAUCGGGUCGAAAGAUCCUAAAUUCGGAAAAUGGUCCCCUACCUGGGAAGGGCUGUAUAAAAUCGGCAGAUGCGCUCCAGGGAAUGCCUACAUUUUGGAAACAAUAGAAGGAGAAGAAUUCACUAGAGCUCUGAAUGGAAGGUACUUAAAAAGAUAUUACCCAAGUAUAUGGGUCGGAGCCUAAGAAAUUGUUGACGCCAGAUUUCGUCACCAGUAGAAUCGGCGCCAAGAAGAAAAGAAAUCGAAGAAAUACAGUUGGGAAUCGGCCAAAUGGUGCUAUAGUGCGGAAUCGGCUGGCGACUUUUGUCUCGCUUCAGGAUGAAUGCACCAGAGUCCCAAUCGGUAAUCUUUUGCCGAUGAGAAAUCGGCCGAUUAGGAGGAUGGACUAAUUGGGCCUGUAUGGGCUUGGAAAGGGAUGGAAGUAUAAGGUGGAGGUCAGCCCACGAAGCGUGGGAUAACUAACCUAGCACGAAUUGUGCUUGUAGAUAUUCGUUUUCUGUUUGAAUUAGAGAUAGAAUUCUAGUCGGUUAAGAAGUUAUCUGUAUGGGGCUAUAAAUAGCUACCUUUGUAAAUCUGUAAUCAUCAACCAAUCAAUACAACAAACUACUUUUUCUUCGUACUUACUUUCGAGCAGGCGACUUCGCUAUUACUUUUCCUUCUCACCGGUUCGUGCGGAUUGGCAAGGUUGCAUCAUCUUGAUCUCCGGCCGAUUCUGUAAGUUCCGUUUAUCGAGUAAUAUCUAAGCUUUAACUUCCGGCGCAUCGCUGUUGUUUCGUUUAGAUUUAUUCAUCAGUUAUCGAUAUUUGCUAGAUUCAUAGGUUUUUACCUGUUUUUUCUAGUUUCUAUCACCAGUUAUCUAGCUAGGAAUCGGUAGUAUCGGCUUUCUUUAUUUUCUAUCGAUAGAUUCAUCCGUUGCUGAUUAGAUCUGUUCCUAGUGUUGUUAUCACAAGCUUUGUACCGAUUACUUUAGCAAUUUUCUAUCUACAAGGCUAUAGGGAUCGGGCUGUCUUAUAGCCGAUUUCAUUAUCACAGUAAAUCGGCCGAUUCGCUGAUAAACUCUCUCGAUCGGAAACUUAGCCGAUCGUAGUUUCUGAACCUGACCACGUGUUCUUCCUUGCCAAUCAACAGGUCAGAUUGGCUGGCACGCCACGCGAACUGCACCAGGGCAUUCACCCGAACAGGAGCUAAGCAGAUUCUCCCGGGUCGUGUGUCGGUCGCUGGGAUUCGGUUGACCGAUUUCUAGCGCCAACACACUUUUGGCACGCCCGGUGGGACCAAUACAACCGCUAUCAUGUCGAAAGCUGCUGAAGUCUCUGAAGAUAACGUCAUCGAAGUGACGGAAGCAGAUCUAAAGGACGACCAAAAGGAAGAUCUGAAUAAGUAUUUGGAGCAAGUCCGGAAAACUUGCUUAAAAUCCUUCAGUCGUUCCAGGAGCGGGGAGACUGUUAAGAAGACUCCUUUCCCUACUCCCCGUCAGAUCACAAUCUCUGAGGAUUCGGAUAAAAUGUCCGAUAUGAUUCAACAAUCUCUUCAUCACGCCUUCAUCAAUCAAUCCCCGGUGCUUUCAAACAUGGUGCACAAUGCCGUUGUCAACUCCUUUGCUGGAGGUAUACCUCAAGGAUAUAGGGGGCCAACGUAUUUUCAGCCGAUUCCACCAAAUCAGGCUUAUCCGGCUUCACAGCCGAUCCAAUCUUCUGUUGGAGGGUCCGGUGCUUCUGCGUCGUCGACUCCUUUGGCAUAUGGUUCCAUCCAUCUGUCCUCUGCACCAUUCCCUCCAGUCAGCCCUUCACCCUGGGGGGCACCUUUAAACACGGCCGGUCUGAAUCAAUCGGUCAGUCAAGGAAAUCCUCCGUUCCAGACACCCUCCCAAACGGCCACCCGGCCGAUCAUACCACCAUACCAGCCUGUCGCUCCGGAGGUCAACAAGACGUCAGAGCUCAUGCUAUAUGAUGAAACGAGUGGUUCAUACAAACAGCCAACCUUUACUACACCGCCGGCUUAUACUCAAAUACCACCUUUUCAUCAAUCUCCUUUUAUUCAGCCUCCGAUUUAUCAACACGUGCCGAUACCGCAGCCAACUAUUCCCCAGCAACAACCAGAUUGGUCGGCGCAAAUUGCGGAGGUAAUGCAAGAACAAUUCGGCUUGAAGCCGAAAAUGCAAACUUAUACCUAUAGAACACCAUACCCAUCUACAUAUGACUUGUUGCCGUUUCCCCAUCGGUACAAAGUCCCUGAUUUUACCAAAUUUUCGGGGAUGGAUGAUACUUCGACCGUAGAGCAUGUGAAUAGAUUCAUCAUCCAAUGCGGGGAGGCAGCUACGCAAGAUGCCCUGCGGGUACGGUUGUUCUCGUCAUCCUUGUCUGGAUCGGCCUUUCAAUGGUUCACGACUCUACCACCAAACUCAAUUAUCACAUGGGCCGAUCUAGAAAGGCAGUUCCACAAGUACUUCUAUGCUGGGGUCCAUGAAAUGAAGCUGUCCGAUCUGACUAGCCUCCGGCAAAGAAGUGAUGAGCCGAUACCCUCGUAUAUACAGAGGUUUCGGGAAAUCAGAAACAAAUGCUACUCCCUGGCUCUAACCGAUGCACAGUUGGCCGAUAUAGCUUUCCAAGGUCUUCUGCCACACAUUAAAGAGAAAUAUGCCUCGCAAGAGUUCGAGAGCCUGAGCCAGAUUGUUCACCGAUUGUCCGGACAGGAAGUGCGUCCAUUCGAUCCGUGACGGAAUUUCCAGAAGAAAGUGGCAUUCCUGGAAGAGUUAGAGGAUGAGGAAGAUGUCGAAAUCGGACUUGCGGAGUGGAUUAAGGGAAAGAAGCCGAUAUCGUGCCCAUUCGGCAAAAAGGAGCCGGAAGCAUUCGGUUUCGAUACGACUAAAGCCGAUAAAAUCUUUGAUCUUCUCCUACAGGAAGGGCAGAUUAAACUCUCGCCUUACCAUACAAUACCCUCUGCCGAACAAUUAAAGAAGAUGAAGUAUUGGAAGUGGCACAAUGCCACAUCACAUGAUACCAACGAGUGCAAAAUCUUCAGGCAACAAAUACAGUCAGCCAUUGAGCAAGGCAGACUCAAAUUUGAAGUGCCGGCGAAAUCGGCCAAACCAAUGAAGAUCGACCAGCACCCCUUUCCUACCAACAUGGUUGAUACGGGAAGGAAUUCGCUCCAAACAAAAGUGUUGACGUCCGAAUCGGCCAAAAAGAGUGGUUCUGUCGAUCCCAGAAAUCAAGCUACGCCUGAAGAUGUCAAAGGGAAACGGCGAAUGGAGGACGAUGAUGGUGAGUCAGAUGGACCACGUAUUACUUCCCAGUUCCUGCUCCAAAAGUACCAACGCCAACAUGAACGUUCGAGGUCCCGAGAGGAAGCGAUGCGUCGGCACGAGGAGCACUGGAGAUGCCCGUUCUUCAUUCAUUGUUGGGAAAAUAACCUCAGGUUACCAUCGGCCGAUACUUGCCCAGAGUGCAACGGUCCCUAUCGAGGCAAUCGGCCGUUCACCAGGUCUCGCUCCAGAGACGGAAGGCCAGAACCGAUCAGCAGGAAUCGGCGCAACCAAGAUGACCAGCGCCCUCCCGUGCGUGAUCGGCUGGGGGGCAGAAGUGACCGAUAUGAUCGGUCGGAAGAUAGAAGCCAUGAUAGGCAGGGGGGCAGGGCUGAUCGACAUGAUCAGUCAAAUAACAAAGCUAGCGUUCACAGCCGGCUCGAAGACAUGGCCGAUGCUCGGGUAACGGACGAGAACCCGUUAGGAUGCGAACCGGAGUGGGAACGCGCCAGGAAAGAAGGGAGGCCAAUAAACCCCAGGUGGUGCCCCGAUGGUUUGACCAAAUCACAAAAAUGGAGGAUCCAACGUCUCCGCCAAUGGGAACAGCAAGAAGAAGAGAGCGCGACGGACAAGAAGGAAGGGAGGCCUCGGGUGUGGCGCCCCAAAAGAAACGACAAGGGAAACAAUGAGUCGGCGGGUGAUGAAUCGGCAGCCGAGAUCGGUAUGGUUUUCAUAUUGCCGAUGGAGUUCAUGACCCCCGCCGAUCAACAGGACGUAUCGGCGAUAGAGGAACAGACAGCACGGUUGGCUUUAGAACCAAUGAUGGCCACGUUCGAAAAGCCCGAAGACGACGAACGACAACACAUGAAGGCGUUGUUCCUUAAAGGGCAUGUUGACGGUCGCCCCCUCACUAGAUUGAUGGUCGACGGAGGAGCUGCUGUCAAUAUCAUGCCGUAUGCCGUACUCCAGAAGCUGGGGAAGAGCGAUGACGACCUAACCAGGACGGACAUGAUGCUCAAGGACUUCGAAGGCAAGGUGUCAAACGCUCGCGGUUAUCUCUGCGUCGACCUCACCAUCGGCAGUAAGACCCUUCCUACCACGUUUUUCGUCAUUAAUGGCAAAGGGUCCUAUAAUAUGCUUCUUGGCCGAGACUGGAUACACGCGAACUGCUGCAUCCCGUCAACUAUGCAUCAGUGCCUCGUACAAUGGGUCGGCGAUAACAUCGAGGUGGUCAAAGCCGACUCCGCGUACAGCAUCGCAGCAGUCGACGCACAGCAAUGGAGCUGCGAAACCGUCAGAUGCAUAUCAGGUAGGGUGUGGGAAACCGAUUUCCUGAAGGUCACCGAUUUUGGCCUACAGCCGAUCCGAGCAGUCGGCUCCGAAGACGCGGAAUAAAUGGAUCAGUUCGCCCGAGAAGAUGGGAAGCUGGGGCACGGAUUCACGUCGGCCGAUUCAUUAGAGAUGAUAGACUUAGGUGAUGGAACCAAACCAAGGCCGACUUUCAUUAGUGCAAAUUUAGAUCCGGAAUACAAGUGUAAAUUGACAAAUUUAUUAAGAGAAUUCAAGGAUUGUUUUGCUUGGGAGUAUCACGAGAUGCCCGGUUUAGAUCGAUCUAUUGUUGAACAUCGGCUACCCAUAAAGCCAGGGUAUCGGCCGUACCAACAACCCGCACGGCGAUGCAAUCCUAAAAUUUUACCAGACAUAAAAGCUGAAAUAACUCGGCUAAUUGAAGCAAAAUUUAUUCGGCAAUGUCGUUAUGCCGAGUGGAUUUCUAAUAUCGUGCCGGUGUACAAGAAAAACGGGAAGUUGCGCGUUUGCGUCGAUUUCAGGAAUCUUAAUCAGGCCACACCAAUGGAUGGUUACCCCAUGCCUACGGCCGAUGUACUGAUCGACGCCGCCGCGGGACACAAAAUUAUUAGCUUCAUGGAUGGAAACGCCGGAUACAAUCAAAUACUUAUGGCCGAAGAGGACAUACCCAAAACGGCUUUCAGAUGUCCAGGCCAUCUUGGUUUAUUCGAGUGGGUGGUGAUGACUUUUGGCUUGAAGAAUGCUGGCGCUACAUAUCAGAGAGCCAUGAACUACAUUUUUCACAAACUCAUUGGCCUCCUGGUAGAAAUCUACAUCGAUGAUGUUGUGGUCAAGUCCAAGAGUCACGAGGAACAUCUAGCCGAUUUGCGAAAGGUACUAGAGUGUACCAAAAAGCACGGUCUUAAGAUGAAUCCCAAUAAAUGCGCUUUCGGCGUCUCUGCCGGACAGUUCUUAGGAUUCAUGGUGCACGAACGAGGUAUAGAAGUCAAUCAGAAGACCAUAGCGGCCAUCAACAAAGUCGUGGCCCCACAGAACAAAACUGAGCUACAGUCUCUAAUCGGCAAGGUAAACUUCAUCAGAAGAUUUAUAUCUAAUCUAUCUGGACGAAUUCAGGCGUUCACGCCGCUUCUGAAGUUGAAGCCAGACCAGGAAUUUAUAUGGGGAGAAGAGCAGCGCAAGGCGUUGGAAGAUAUCAAGCGAUACUUGGUCUCACCGCCAGUCUUGGUUCCUCCUCAAACUGGUAAGCCGUUUAAACUGUAUUUAUCAGCCGAUGAAAAAGCUAUUGGGUCGGCUCUAGUCCAAGAGUUUGAAGGCAAAGAGCGGGUAAUUUAUUACGUCAGUAGAAGACUCUUAGAUGCCGAAACAAGAUAUCCUUCGGUAGAGCGUUUGUGCUUGUGUCUUUACUUCUCAUGCACCAAACUCAGGCACUAUCUACUGUCGGCAGAAUGUGUAGUCGUAUGCAAAGAUGACGUAGUAAAGUACAUGCUAUCACUGCCGAUAUUGAAAGGACGAAUCGGUAUAUGGAUCUUAGCUUUAUCAGAAUUUGACCUGCGGUAUGAAUCGGCAAAAGCCGUCAAGGGUCAAGUCAUGGCCGAUUUCGUCGCCCAGCACUGUGGACCGGAGAUCGCCCUCGCGGAACUGGUGCCUUGGCAAUUAUUUUUCGAUGGGUCAUCAUGCGGGGUCGGAUCAGGAAUCGGCAUCGUUCUCAUAUCGCCUCGGGGGGCAAGCUAUGAUUUUUCUCUGCCGAUAGAAACCGCCGCUACUAACAAUCAAGCGGAGUACAGAGCUGUAUUAAAAGGCUUACAGUUAUUAAGAGAAGUCAAGGCCGAUUCUGUUGAGAUCUUCGGAGAUUCUAUGCUUAUCGUGGAUCAACUGACCGGAAGGGCUGAGUGCAAAGAUGACGUAUUAAGAAUGUAUCACGAAGAUUGCUUACAGCUUUUAAAAGAGUUCAGAUCGGCAGUAAUUGAGCAUGUUCCAAGAGACCGCAACGAGGAAGCAAACAAACUCGCCCAGCAUGCAUCUGGGUAUCGGCCGAUUCUGGGCGCCAUGGCCUUAGAACUUGCAGCCGACGACUGGCGUAAAGAAAUUGCCUAUUACCUAAAGGAUCCGUCUAAAAAGGUGGAGCGACGAGUACGCUUUCACGCCACCAAAUACGUACUGCUCGAAGAUGAUCUGUUCUACCGAACGAUCGACGGAGUCCUUCUUAAAUGCCUUGGGACAGAAGAAGCCAAGACUCUAAUGGGAGAAAUCCAUGAAGGGGUAUGCGGAGCACACCAAUCGGCACAUAAGAUGAAGUGGAUGAUCAGGAACAACGGGUACUAUUGGCCUACGAUCCUCGAAGACUGUUUCAAAUAUUAUAAGGGUUGUUAGGAAUGUCAAAAGUUUGGAAAUGUCCAACGUGCACCCGCGUCGGCCAUGAAUCCCAUCAUCAAGCCAUGGCCGUUCAGGGGGUGGGGAAUAGACCUCAUCGGCCAAAUUUAUCCACCAUCGAGCAAGGGGCACAAAUUUAUUCUGGUGGCUACUGAUUACUUCACCAAAUGGGUGGAGGCAAUCCCGUUGAGGGCUGUGACUUCGGCUAUCAUGGCCGACUUCGUAAGGGACCAUAUCAUCUACCGAUUCGGUAUCCCUCAAACUAUAACAACCGAUCAAGGAACAAUGUUCACAUCGGGGGAAUUUGAGGAAUUUACGACCGAUAUGGGCGUCAAAUUGUUAAAUUCUUCUCCGUAUUACGCUCAGGCCAAUGGUCAAGCAGAAUCCUCCAACAAAGGAAUAAUCAAGUUGAUCAAAAGGAAGAUUGAAGAAUAUCCGAAGAAGUGGCACCUAUGUUUGACUGAGGCCCUGUGGGCAUACAGAAUGGCCUGUCAUGGGGCUACCAAGUUAUCUCCCUAUCAGUUGGUAUACGGUCACGAUGCAGUACUGCCAUGGGAGUCGAGGGCAGGAUCAAGGCGCAUUUCACUUCAGGACCAGUUGUCAGCCGAUGAUUACUCAUCUCUGAUGAAAGGGGAACUCGAUGAUUUGGCUGGCCAACGACUAAGGGCUCUGAUAAGUAUCGAAGAGAAUAAAAAGAGAGUGGCCAGGUGGUACGAUAAGAAGGUCAAAGUCAAGCAGUUCUCCCCUGGAGACUUGGUAUGGAAGUUAGUACUACCGAUCGGGUCGAAAGAUCCUAAAUUCGGAAAAUGGUCCCCUACCUGGGAAGGGCCGUAUAAAAUCGGCAGAUGCGCUCCAGGGAAUGCCUACAUUUUGGAAACAAUAGAAGGAGAAGAAUUCACUAGAGCUCUGAAUGGAAGGUACUUAAAAAGAUAUUACCCAAGUAUAUGGGUCGGAGCCUAAGAAAUCAACCGUAACACAAUCAUACAUAGCCGAUACGAGUCGGUUUAAGACACACAUAAAGUCGACCGGAGCGGCCGAUUACAUUCAUUCGGUACGGACGACGGAUUACAUGGCCGACAAAACACUAAGUCGCCCUUAGAACAAAAAUACAAAAAACAAACUAAUUGUUCUUCUUCUGGGAUGCCUUCCCAUUCCGCUCCAACUCGUCCACAGCACGAAGGCGCGAGGCCUCUGCCGCCGCAAGGAUGACGGGCCGAGGAAGCAGACGGGCCCUAUCGGUGGAAGGCCGCUGGCCGCCGUUCCUCUCCAUGUAGUCCAGGAUCGUGCGGGCUGCCGAAGUGACGUCAUCUUCAGGAACGUCACGACGAUGACCCCUCAUGAUUGGAGAUCGGCGACGGCUUUCACUUACCACGGCAUCCAAGACUGCACGAGCCUCUGCAGUAAUGUGGUCUUGAAGCUCCUCUCGGUGGGCCAGAAUCAGAGCCUUGUCCUCCGGGGUCAACGGAUCUUCAGAGUGGAUGCACUCGAUGGCGCGCACGAGCUCGGGACCAAGGCGUUGGGGCUGAAACAAAGAAGGAAUAAGGCGAAACAUUCGUUUCCUAAGAUCUAAGAGAAGAAGUCGGGGCUCCACCUGGUUAACAGAAGAAGAUGACGAUGAGGCCAUGACGAAAUAGUCGCGCUGAUGAGAAGAAGAAGAAAAGUGAAAUGGGAGCCGAGUCGAUACUAUCGGGAGUAGGCACCGAGGUCGAUAUUUAUGGGGAAAAAUACGUGGAAAUCUGGUGAGGCCACGUCCCAUCGGUAAUAAGGAAGGCAGUAAAUAGAGAGGGCGUCGCGAAGGGUCGGUCAAAGAAGAUAGUAAAUGUUCGUACAAAACGGUUAGUGUUUUACAGAUUACCCAAAAGGGUAUCGAUAGCCGUGAUGGCCCGGCGCCGGAUCUGAUCGGCAGAGUCAAGAACCCGUUGGUCUUCUUCCGCCGAUCCAGGGACCUCCGAUGCGCUGCGGUGGAGUCUCAGAGCCUCAUGAGCAAAACGCUGCCUCUCCCAUGUCAAAUCGGCAAUAGCAGAGGGUAACUCUUGAAGUUUGUUCUCUUCGGCGCUGAUUGCCUUGGUCACUUGCUCCAUCUCUUUGGCAAGUUCCGCCCUCCGACGUUUGAGGCGGUCUAUUUCACUAAUGAUCGCCGGGCGUGAGUCUUCUAGGACAUGGAUACGCCGAUGCGCUUCUUGAGCCUGACGCUUGAAAGCGUCUUCAUCUUCACGAGUCUUGGCCAGUUUCGCGCGAUCGGCCAUGUGACGAAGGGCCCUAAAGACUGGGAUCCUCAUGGACUCGAUGAAGGCCGCUGGUGCUAAGGCCUCUUCCGCUUCCUCUGGUACUCGUCCGCUGACGUCACUGAAGAGCUGCCGAAUCAGCGAAGCAUCUUCUACCAAUCGGCCGAUGUCCCCUUGAAGGAGGGAUCGGAUGUUGGUAAGUUUAGCUCGGACGUCGUCAGGAACGGAGCUUAGAGCAACUUGGUGGGAUGCGACUUCCUCGUCAUCAGAGAGAGCAACCGCGAAGGAAAAGAGGCUGUUGUCGGGGGAGUCUUGUUCCUAAGAAAAUAAGGAAAAGGGGUGAACCGGCGAGGGAUCAGAGCAAAUCGGCUGGUUGAAAGCUGGUUUAGGAACUUACCAUUUUAAAGCGAAUUUCUUCAUGCUGCGAUUGUAAAGCCGUCGUGACUUGCUCAGUGGCCUGUGCCAUGGGUUCAUCUGAUGAAGAGGACUCCACGACAAUCGGCGCGGUGCUCAGACCAGCUCCCUGAGAAGAAAUCGGUUGUCGAGAAGCGCUCGGUGUGCCGAUGGCCUGCGUCGAAGAAUCGGUUAAAUACAUUACGCAAAUACCCGAAGGAAAUCCGUAAGAUAAGUACCGUACCUCAAUGGAUGAGGGCAGGGGCGCAUUGGUGUCCGGUCGAGUUGUCGCCGAUUGUGGUAUUUCCAUAGAGGUGCUCUAAGAAGCACAAAGUUAAGAAGAGCUAAUAUCAAAAUGACAAUCGGAGAUGGUAAAGCUCGAACUUACUUGUAUAGCUUCCAACAAUAAUGAUGCGGCAGCCACUCUGGCUUGUGUGAUGGCUUGAGUAUCGGCACUUUGUGUGGCCUGGGAAGGUGGUGCAGUCAAAGUUUCUGCCGAUACAAGCACAGGAGGAUCCGCCGAUUCCGUACGAGCCCGGACUCGGCGACUGGUUUUCUUGACGACCUUCUUAUGAACCUGCUUCGAUCGGCCAGCGAUCAUGUCAACUGACGGAGCGUCGUAGCCGAUAAGAGGAUAGGUGGUGUAUGGAUAGCUCUCUAUUAGCCGACCGCUGCGGCUGUGCGUUGGAGGGUUCCGAUUCCCGGCCUAAAGAAACAAUGAAAUCAUUAGUGCUCAAUCAUGUUGGGGAGAAUGAAAAUCGGUGAUCAGAAAUACCUCGGCGUUGGGAUCAAUGUUGGCCGGAUCUAGAAGGUUGCAGUAUGCCGAUGCUGAGUUGCAGAAUAGAAAUUGCUUCCAUUCGGCCCACCAAAGUUUGAACGGCUGGAUGGCAAAUGGAAAUAAUAGCCAGUCAUUCAAAUUAAUCGUACUGGAGUCCGGAAUUCGGUCUCGCAGCCGACAGUAAUCCAGGCCAGUUGUAAGUACAUCUCUGAACUUGAUUCGGCUAGCAAAAUACACUUGUAUCGGCAAUUGACCCAUGCCGAAUUGUCGUGCGGCAGUAGACGGGUUGUAGAAUUCGUAUGUAGGGGCAUCCUUCCCUGAAAAGAAGUUGGCCGGUAGGAGUCCUGGUUUGAUCAGUCCUUCAUAAAGAUCUUCAUCAAACCGGCCAGAAGUUGAAUCAAAGCAGGAGGGGAGCUCAAAGACUGGGUUGUCUCGCUGGUACGGAAACCAGAUAGUUGCGUCUUCAUUAAAUCCAUUAUAAAAGCACCGAAAAUACUCGGCUACCUUUGUAGCAGAAUAUGCACAACCUGGAAAAGCUGACGCUGCUUCACCAAAGGACAUGCAUCGGCGACGCUCGGUGGGGUCCUCCGCCGAUUCGAUAUUGGGAAACAUCAUAUGGUCCACCGGCUGCCGGGUGAUUCUGCUCAUGUAAAGGUUUAACCAUAGAUUGACAAACCACCAAGGCCCACCUGGGUUGCCGAUUGGUUCUCCCUUGGAAAGUUUUGUGCCGAUUUGAUGGAGCAUGUGGUACAAGGCACCCAGAAGAUGUUUCCCGAGAGGAAUAUGGCUUCCUCUGGACAGUGCUUCAGCUAAGGAUUGGGUGUUGGUUGUUGGGCCGGCGGCUCUUCCACAAAAGAAGUGUUUUUCUAGCCACAUCAUCAGGAAAGCUGUGUGCUCCCUGUUCUCAACAGUACCGGUCUUCUUGUUACUGUUGAUGAAGCCUUUCCAGCCGCCGAUUCCCCUUGUGUCCAGCCGAUGCGACGUUGUGGUCAAAAGGUGGAAGGGUGUGUUAGGGGAAGAUAUGUCCAGGCCGGUCAAAAGGACCACAUCGGCCAGGGUGGGGGUCAUAGGACCGUGUCCAAAUAAGAACGCAUUAAGUGCGUCAGACCAAAAAUAGGAAGCCGCUAUCACUAACGGCUCAUUUUUCUCCAUUUGAGACAGGGAGAGGUUGAUGCAUUGGCCGAUUUUGAGUUCUUCCCACGAGACGCUCUUUGACGCGGCCAUUCGUUGGUACCAUUCCCUCCAACCUGGGGUUUCAUUCGGCCAAGAUCUGAAAGUGCUCACCCAUUGAUCUAAGUUCAUAUCGGAUCGCUUGAAGGGUAUCCGGUCGGUUUCCAAAUUUAUAAGAUCUACCGGAUCUGGGUCUCCCAUAGGACCGAGGCAAACAAGGCCAGGACUUCCCGUGAGAUGAAUAGUAAUUCUAUGCCUUACCGCCUAAAAAAGGGAAAUGAAUAUGGGAAUGUAAGAAGUAGAUCUAAGAUAAAUACGUUGCCGAUAGGGGAAGGAUUCGGUAUUUACCUCCGGGAUAAAGUUCUGAGUAAUCGGUGUGGUCGCCGAUGCGGAUGUGGAUGACGGGGCCGCGAUGGGAAUCGCCAUUGGGAUUUCUGAUGGAGCUUUUUCAUCUGUGGAUGAAGUGACGGUCGUCGCCACCACCACCGGAGGCGCUAUCUCUGGAGCAUUGCGUGCGGGGGAGCUGCCGGAAGGAGUCGCCAUUGAAGGGAAGGGGGAAGAAGUAACAGGAGCUGGAACUAGAAAACUUCGAUGGCAAGGGAAAGUGUUGAAAGAAGAAGGAUGCGCGCGCGUUGGGAAAAGAGACGUGAGCUUGAAGAUGAGCUGCGGUGAAGUGUUAUUUAUAGGAUGCCUGAAGAGAGGGUAAAGAUGGAAUUUUCACCGUGCCGGCGCUUCGAGUUUUUCGGGGUAGUGGCUGUCGUGGGCGCCCGUUUCAAAAAUUGCAAUGAUCAGCUGGGAAACCGCGAAACGGAAGGAUAUUUUCACUGCGGCCGUUUCGGAGGGGAGGUUAUAAAGAAUUUCGAAGUAAAAGACUGUGUUUUACUCCGAAACUGGGGGGCAUGUGUUGACGCCAGAUUUCGUCACCAGUAGAAUCGGCGCCAAGAAGAAAAGAAAUCGGAGAAAUACAGUUGGGAAUUGGCCAAAUGGUGCUAUAGUGCGGAAUCGGCUGGCGACUUUUGUCUCGCUUCAGGAUGAAUGCACCAGAGUCCCAAUCGGUAAUCUUUUGCCGAUGAGAAAUCGGCCGAUUAGGAGGAUGGACUAAUUGGGCCUGUAUGGGCUUGGAAAGGGAUGGAAGUAUAAGGUGGAGGUCAGCCCACGAAGCGUGGGAUAACUAACCUAGCACGAAUUGUGCUUGUAGAUAUUCGUUUUCUGUUUGAAUUAGAGAUAGAAUUCUAGUCGGUUAAGAAGUUAUCUGUAUGGGGCUAUAAAUAGCUACCUUUGUAAAUCUGUAAUCAUCAACCAAUCAAUACAACAAACUACUUUUUCUUCGUACUUACUUUCGAGCAGGCGACUUCGCUAUUACUUUUCCUUCUCACCGGUUCGUGCGGAUUGGCAAGGUUGCAUCAUCUUGAUCUCCGGCCGAUUCUGUAAGUUCCGUUUAUCGAGUAAUAUCUAAGCUUUAACUUCCGGCGCAUCGCUGUUGUUUCGUUUAGAUUUAUUCAUCAGUUAUCGAUAUUUGCUAGAUUCAUAGGUUUUUACCUAUUUUUUCUAGUUUCUAUUACCAGUUAUCCAGCUAGGAAUCGGUAGUAUCGGCUUUCUUUAUUUUCUAUCGAUAGAUUCGUCCGUUGCCAAUUAGAUCUGUUCCUAGUGUUGUUAUCACAAGCUUUGUACCGAUUACUUUAGCAAUUUUCUAUCUACAAGGCUAUAGGGAUCGGGCUGUCUUAUAGCCGAUUUCAUUAUCAAAGUAAAUCGGCCGAUUCGCCGAUAAACUCUCUCGAUCGGAAACUUAGCCGAUCGUAGUUUCUGAACCUGACCACGUGUUCUUCCUUGCCAAUCAACAGGUCAGAUUGGCUGGCACGCCGCGCGAACUGCACCAGGGCAUUCACCCGAACAGGAGCUAAGCAGAUUCUCCCGGGUCGUGUGUCGGUCGCUGGGAUUCGGUUGACCGAUUUCUAGCGCCAACAAUAGGUCACAGGAGCCCGAAUACGAUCACACUUACAACCGGGGUCGAAAACGUGGGGAAUGUUCCAAAGCCGUGAAAAUGGCUUCCGGACCCAUUUUCUGCUAGGAAAAUGUGUGCUAUAGGUCACGGGAGCCCGAAUACGAUCACACUUACAACCGGGGUCGAAAACGUGGGCGAUGGUCGGAAGCCGUGAAAAUGGCCUCCGGACCCGUUUUCGGCCGUGAAAACGUGUGCUAUAGGUCAUGGGAGCCCGAACAUGGUAACACCGACAACCGGGGUCGAAAACGUGGGGGAUGGUCCGAAGCCGUGAAAAUGGCCUCCGGACCCGUUUUAUGCAAGGAAAACGUGUGCUAUAGGUCAUGGGAGCUCGAAUACGAUCACACCGACAACUGGGGUCGAAAACGUGGGGGAUGGUCAAAAGCCAUGAAAAUGGCCUCCGGACCCGUUUUCGGCCGUGAAAACGUGGGCUAUAAGUCACGGGAGCCCGAAUAUGGUAACACCAACAACCGGGGUCGAAAACAUGGGGGAUGGUCCGAAGCCAUGAAAAUGGCCUCCGGACCCGUUUUCGGCCGUGAAAACAUGUGCUAUAGGUCACGGGAUCCCGAAUACCGUCACACCGGCAUCCGGGGUCAAACACGUGGGGGAUGGUCCGAAGCCGUGAAAAUGGCCUCCGGACCCGUUUUCUGCCAAGAAAAUGAGUGCUAUAGGUCACGGGAGCCCGAAUACGGUCAACCGGCAUCCCGGGUCGAAAACGUGGGGGAUGGUCCGAAGCUGUGAAAUUAGCCUCCGGACCCGUUUUCCACCAAGAAAAUGUGUGCUAUAGGUCACGGGAGCCCGAAUACGGUUACACCCACAACGGGGGUCGAAAACGUGGGGGAUGGUCCGAAGCCGUAAAAAUGGCCUUCGGACGCAUUUUCGGCCAUGCAAACGUGUGCUAUAGGUCACGGGAGCCCGAGUACGGUCACACAGGCAUAUGGGGUCGAAAAUGUGAGGGAUGGUCCGAAGCCGUGAAAUUGGCCUCCGGACCCGUUUUCUGCUAGGAAAACGUGUGCGGUCACGGGAGCCCGAAUAUGGUAACACGGACAACUGGGGUCGGAAACGUGGGGGACGGUUCGAAGCCGUGAAAAUGGCCUCCGGACCCAUUUUCGGCUGUGAAAACAUGGGCUAUAGGUCACGAGAGUCCGAAUACAGUCACACCGACAUCCGAGGUCGAAAAUGUGGGGGAUUGUCCGAAGCCGUGAAAAUGGCCUCCGGACCCGUUUUCUGCUAGGAAAACGUGUGCUAUAGGUCACGGGAGCCCGAAUAUGGUAACACCGACAACCGGGGUCGAAAACGUGGGGGAUGGUCCGAAGCAAUGAAAAUGGCCUCCGGACCCGUUUUCGGCCGUGAAAACAUGUGCUAUAGGUCACGGGAGCCCGAAUACGGUCACACCGACAACCGGGGUCGAAAACGUGAGGGAUGGUCCGAAGCCGUAAAAAUGGCCUGCGGACCCGUUUUGUGCUAGGAAAACGUGUGCUACACGGGAGCCCGAAUAUGGUAACACCGACAACCGGGGUCGAAAACGUGGGGGAUGGUCCGAAGCCGUGAAAAUGGCCUUCGGACCCAUUUUCGGCCGUGAAAAUGUUGGAGGUAUGCCCUAGAGGCAAUCAUAGAGAUGAUGAUAUUCCAUUUGUAUCCAUGAUUUGUAUAUUGUGUUCAUUGAAUAUCCAUUAAAGGCUACUUGAAUUGAUUUGCAAUUAUGUGAAUUGUAUGUGAAACUCUUUACUUGUAUGGUUAUUCUAAAAGUUGUCCCUAGUCGGAGUUCAUGUGAGGACACACAUGAAUAUUAGACUAGCACAUGUAUUAGUUGAUGACUAUGUUUCACAAGUCAUGGACAUGGAGAUGUUGAACUAAUAAUGUGGACACAUGUGGAGACAUGUGCUAGGACUGACCCAACACGAGAAGUAGUUCUCUCUUUAAACAACAUAUACGCUUUGUCCUUAGACCUGAGAUUGUCGCAUGUAUUCUAGAUGUGGAUCGACCUACUUAGGGGCUAUCAAACGCUACGCCGUAACAGGGUAGUUAUAAAGGUAGCUUUCGGGUUUGUCAAGAAGCAUGCUAUGAGACAUGGUCAAUCAAGAUGGGAUUUGCCCCUCUCUGAUUGAGAGUGAUAUCUCUGGGCCCCUCGAGUGAUCGGAUCCGAAAAUGCAUGGCCAUGCUACGUACGGUUAAGAGUUAACCUACAAAGGGAUUCCGAAUCACAGGAUCGAGAAAGAGCGGUCGGCUUGAAGCUAGACCAAAUAUCGUGAGGCAAAGGGAAUAGCAUGUAUAUUAUGUUGUGAUGGUUCGUCUGAUAUGAUCUUCGUAUGCGUAUAGGAGUUGGCACGUCUUGCUAGAGGCCGCUACCGACUAUUGGGCCGAGUAGGAGUACUCGGGCCAUGUCUAUACGUAUCCGAACCCAUAGGGUCACACACUUAAGGGGCUGGAAGCCCAAUUCGGAUCUGAUCCGAGUUGGAUUAGGUUUAGGAGUACUAAUGGGCCUCGGAUCCAGAGGCCCAUCAGGAACCUCUAUAAAUAGAGGGGUGGGGGCGCCCUAGGGUUUACACCUUUUGGCUGAACACACUUGCCGCGCCUCCCACGCCCUCGCCUGUUGCAACUCGCGGAUCUAGCAAUCCGGCUUGCGACGCUUCCUCCCUGCACGUGUGGAUACCUUGGAGGUGUUGCGUCUGCAGCACUUGGACGAGCCAUCGACGAGCCGCCGACGAGCCACGACGAGCCGACGACGGGCCGCGGUACCGGAGGAGAUCUUGCUGUGCACGUGGACGAGCUGCUGAGGAGCUGCUGGACGUGAUCGACUACGUACGACUACGUUGAUCGACUACGUACGACUACGUGAUCGUCUUCACUGCAUCGACGCAUAUCUACAUCUUCCGCACCAGUAGUGCGUCGAGUGGUAAUCCCGUGAUCCUUAUACGACAGUUCUUCCUGGUUAUACGCGGUAGAAAUUUUGAUUUGCGCUAGUGUAGCCUACCUCGUAUCCCAACAGUGGUAUCAGAGCCGUAGCUGCUUAGUUUUGGAUUCGGGAUGUGUGCAUAUGGAGAUAUGCGAGUUCUCUGUUUGAUCUAUGUCCUGAUUUCGUGCCCUUGCUGCAAUGGUAGUGUAACGACAUACUCCUACCGGUCGGUUUCCGCCAUCGGAGUUAAGUGAUACACGUAAAUCCAGUUGUAGUGAGCGAAGAUCAAUAUGAUUGGUCGAAUCGAGAUCCAGGGUCAUACGCCAGGCGCAUUAGAUGUGCAAUGGUAGAUGGGAUCUACUGCCGGGGUCGGGAUUUUGCCGUAUGCGUAUGCUUCGGUAAAUCAGCCGUAACUUUUCGGUACGAUCUCGGAUCGAGGCGAUUUCUAUACGAAAAUUGAUCUACAGAAAAAGUUACACGUGAAUUUCAACUUCUUUGCCGUUUUCGGCGAAAUUAGAUUUCCCAAAUUCGGCUUGGAAGAUGGAGUUUCGGGCCUCCCAAGUUUGGAACGUUAGGACGCCUAACUCUAUUUUGCAGGAUGUAUGUAUGUAUCUUGUGAUCAGUAUGGCCCCAUUGUGUAUGUGAUGCAUGUGUGUAACUCAUUCGUGACCUGCGUGUCGUGCGUACGGCAACACGGCAGGAGCCAUAUGUGUUGUCACUUUAUUGUAUUUAAUGGUCUGCGUACCAAUCUGUGAUGAUCCAAGCAACCAUGUAAUCUUCAUUACUAGAUUCUUUACUAGCUAUUAGGCGUAAUAGCAUGCUGUAGUUCUUGGAGGACUCAUCACCAGGAGGAUGGCGCACAUGGAACAUGGAGAUGGAGAUCACCAUGGUGAACAGGUUCUAUGGAGAUGGAGAUCACCAUAUGAAAAAACGGGCCAUACUGUGUCACAACUGUGUGAAUGCUAUUCUGUUUAUGUUUUACUUUCUGCAUGCUGUGAUGUUAGAAGUAGAACGAUCCCUCGCAAAGUUUAAGUUAGUAUGCCCUCCCAACUAAAACUUGCACCGUCCCAUGUCUUGUACAAUUAGUGGUGGGUCUAUGAAAUUAGGGUGCCACUAGUUUUCCUUGACUAGACGGGUUUGUGUCGGACACUUACACGCAUAAGGGUUGGUUUGCUUAACAAGAUUAUCUUAAUGGUUAAGGACCUUGGGGCAUAAAGGUUGGGCGCCGAGACAUAGAGAUGUCACCCAACAACAGGAGUCAUAUGUUGAUAUGAUUAGCAAAAGUUGCUUACCGAUCUACCUCGUUUGCUAGCGGUGAUGCUAAAGCUCACUAGUGGACUUGUUAGUUGUGGAUCCUGAAUCACUAAGUUUCAAUAGAGGGAUAUUGAUUUUAGUGGGAGUAGAUUCUGUUAAAAUAGUUUAAUGUAAUUUGCUCUAUCAUGGAUACGUUUGUCUUAGUGUAUUUUGCAUUACUUUUGUUGUAGAUUAAAUGGCACCUAGCAACACCACCACAUCGUUUGCUUUGCGUUCGGUCCUUGAGAAGGACAAGUUGAAUGGAACAAACUACUCGGAUUGGAUCCGCAACCUGAGAAUUGUUCUCAGGGCUGAGAAAAAGGAAGAUGUUCUAGACAACCCACUACCAGAAGAACCUGCUGAGGAUGCACCCGCUGCUGCUAAGAAUGCUUACAAGAAAGCAUGUGAUGCUAACCUCGAAGUAAGCUGCCUUAUGCUUGCUUGCAUGGAACCCGAGCUGCAGAUGCAGUUCGAAACAAACCAUGAGGCGCACGAUAUGAUCGUGGCGCUUAGAGACAUGUUCCAAACACAGGCCAGGACUGAAAGGUUCAAUGUGUCUAAGGCCUUUGUUGAGAGCAAGCUAGCAGAAGGCGCAGCAGUAGGACCACACGUAAUCAAGAUGGUUGGUUACACUCAACGGUUGGAGAAGCUAGGCUUCCCACUGGGCCAAGAGUUGGCCACUGAUUUCAUUCUUUCGUCUCUUCCGCCUAGCUAUGGGAACUUCAUCUCGAACUACCAUAUGCAUGGGACGGAGAAGGGUCUGAAUGAGCUGUGUGGCAUGCUUAAAACAGCAGAGGCUGACAUCAAGAAAAGCGCUAGUACCAGCCAUGUGAUGGCGAUACAGAACAAGCCUAGCUUUAAGAAGAAGGGCAAUUCAUGGAAGAAGAAGGGCAAGGCUGGAACGUCCAAGCCAAACCCACCGCCCAAGGUUAAAGCUGGACCUGGACCUGCUCCAGACAAAGAGUGCUUUUACUGUCAUGAACUUGGUCACUGGAAGAGAAACUACAAGCAGUACCUAGCUUCCUUGAAGAAUGGCGGAAGUAAGAGUACUUCUACCUCAGGUACGCUUGUUGUUAAUGUUAUAGACAACAUAUUUCUCGCUGAUACAAUUAUUAAUUCUUGGGUAUUUGAUACCGGAUCGGUUGCUCAUAUUUGCAAUUCGAUGCAGGGAAUGAUAAGAAGUAGAAGCGUGGAAAGAGGAGAAGUUGAUUUCCGCGUGAGCAAUAAUGCAAGAGUUGCUGCUUUGACCGUCGGGACGAUGCAACUCCACCUCCCGUCAGGAUUUAUUAUGGAGUUGAAUAAUUGUUAUUUUGUUCCUAGUUUAAGUCGAAACAUUUUGUCUCCUUCAUGUUUGAUGAAGGAUGGUUAUUCAUUUGCGAGUGAAAACAAUGGUUGUGUGAUCUCUAAGAAUAAUAUGUUUAUGGCUUUUGCACCCAUUGUGAAUGGAUUAUUUGUUUUAAAUCUUGAUGGUUCACCUGUCUGUAAUGUAAGUGCUAAAAGGCCUCGGCCUAAUGAUUUGAGUCCUACCUACUUGUGGCAUUGUCGUUUGGGUCAUAUAAGUGAAAAGCGCAUGAAGAAGCUCCAUUCUGAUGGACUUCUAACUUCGUUUGAUUUUGAAUCAUACGAGACAUGUGAGGCUUGCUUGCUAGGCAAGAUGACCAAGACGCCUUUCACAGGAUUUCCUGAGAGAGCAGUAGACUUGUUGGAACUCGUACAUAGUGAUGUAUGUGGACCAAUGAGCACGACGGCUAGAGGAGGAUUCCAAUACUUCAUAACUUUCACUGAUGAUUUUAGUAGAUAUGGCUAUGUCUACUUGAUGAGGCACAAGUCUGAAACCUUUGAAAAGUUCAAGGAAUUUCAGAAUGAAGUUGAAAAUCAGCAUGGCAAGAAAAUUAAGGCCUUACGAUCUGAUCGUGGAGGCGAGUAUUUGAGCCACGAGUUUAGCAAUCAUCUAAAGAGUUGCGGAAUUGUUCCACAACUUACGCCGCCUGGAACACCUCAGAGAAACGGUGUGUCCGAGUGAUGUAAUCGAACUUUGUUAGACAUGGUUCGAUCAAUGAUGAGCCAGUCGGACCUACCAUUGUCAUUUUGGGGAUACGCUCUAGAAACAGCAGCUUUCACACUUAAUAGGGUACCAUCUAAAUCCGUAGUUAAGACACCAUAUGAGAUAUGGACUGGAAAGGUUCCUAGUUUGUCUUUUCUAAAGAUUUGGGGAUGUGAAGUGUUUGUCAAGCGACUUCAGUCGGACAAGAUCACACCCAAGUCGGAUAAGUGCAUUUUCGUGGGAUAUCCAAAGGAAACUUUGGGAUAUUAUUUCUACAACCGAUCAGAAGGCAAAGUGUUUGUCGCUCGGAACGGGGUUUUCCUAGAGAAAGAGUUUCUCAAAGGAGAAAAGAGUGGAAAGACAGUGCAUCUUGAAGAAGUUCAAGAUGAGCCAAUCGGGCAAGAAUCAAUGAGUGAUGCUAACGUAGCAGAACAAGUUGAGAUACCCAUGGCAAGAGAAGCACCGCCACAACCACGAAGGUCAGCAAGGCUCCGCGAAAUGCGGGAAAUAUUAUUGUUGGACAAUGAUGAGCCUGCGACAUAUGCAGAAGCAAUGAUGGACCCAGACUCCGAAAAAUGGCAGAGUGCCAUGCAAUCCGAAAUAGAGUCCAUGGGAGACAAUCAAGUUUGGAACUUGGUUGACCCGCCUGAUAGUGUUAAAGCCAUAGAGUGCAAGUGGAUCUAUAAGAAGAAAAAGGAUAUGGAUGGAAAUGUUCACAUCUAUAAAGCACGACUUGUCGCAAAAGGUUUUCGACAAGUUCAAGGAGUUGACUACGACGAGACCUUCUCACCCGUAGUGAUGCUUAAGUCCAUUCGGAUUAUUCUAGCUAUAGCUGCAUAUUUCGAUUAUGAGAUAUGGCAGAUGGAUGUCAAGACAGCUUUCCUGAAUGGAAACCUAGCUGAGGACGUGUAUAUGAUACAGCCCGAGGGUUUUGUCGAUCCGAAAAAUGCUGGAAAGGUAUGCAAGCUUCAGAGAUCCAUUUAUGGAUUGAAGCAAGCAUCUAGGAGUUGGAACAUUCGUUUUGAUGAAGUGGUCAAAGGAUUUGACUUCACCAAGAACGAAGAAGAGUCUUGUGUUUACAAGAAGGUUAGUGGGAGCUCUGUAGUAUUUCUAAUCUUAUAUGUGGAUGACAUAUUACUGAUUGGAAAUAACAUUCCUAUGCUUGAGUCCGUAAAGACUUCACUGAAAAAUAGUUUUUCGAUGAAGGACUUAGGGGAAGCGGCAUAUAUUCUGGGCAUUAAGAUCUAUAGAGAUAGAUCGAGAAGGCUUAUAGGUUUGAGCCAAGAUACUUAUAUUGACAAAGUGUUGAAGCGGUUCAGCAUGGAAGAGGCAAAGAAAGGGUUCUUGCCUAUGUCACAUGGCAUACAUCUCAGCAAGACUCAGUGUCCUUCGACUGCUGAUGAGCGGGAUCGCAUGAGUAGAGUGCCAUAUGCCUCGGCUAUUGGAUCCAUCAUGUAUGCAAUGAUAAGUACUCGCCCAGAUGUUUCAUAUGCGCUAAGUAUGACAAGCAGACACCAAUCUGAUCCAGGUGAGAGUCACUGGACAGCGGUGAAAAACAUUCUUAAGUACUUGAAAAGGACUAAAGAUAUGUUCCUCGUCUAUGGAGGUCAGGAGGAGCUCGUUGUAACAGGUUACACCGAUGCUAGUUUCCAAACCGACAGAGAUGAUUCGAAGUCACAAUCAGGAUUUGUGUUCACGCUAAAUGGUGGUGCUGUUAGUUGGAAGAGUUCCAAGCAGGAGACGGUGGCCGAUUCUACGACAGAAGCCGAGUACAUCGCGGCUUCGGAAGCCGCGAAGGAAGGUGUUUGGAUAAGGAAUUUCCUCAUUGAGCUUGGUGUGUUCCCGAAUGCGUCCAGCCCAUUGAAUCUCUACUGUGAUAACAAUGGGGCAAUUGCGCAAGCAAAGGAGCCAAGGAACCACCAGAAGAACAAACACGUAAUGCGGCGAUUUCAUCUCAUUCGAGACUUCGUUAACCGGGGUGAGAUCAAGAUAUGCAAAAUACACACGGAUCUGAACAUUUCUGAUCCGUUGACAAAACCACUCCCGCAGGCUAAGCAUGAUGCGCAUGUAAGAGCUAUGGGUAUUAGGUACCUUCUAGAUUGACUCUAGUGCAAGUGGGAGACUGUUGGAGGUAUGCCCUAGAGGCAAUCAUAGAGAUGAUGAUAUUCCAUUUGUAUCCAUGAUUUGUAUAUUGUGUUCAUUGAAUAUCCAUUAAAGGCUACUUGAAUUGAUUUGCAAUUAUGUGAAUUGUAUGUGAAACUCUUUACUUGUAUGGUUAUUCUAAAAGUUGUCCCUAGUCGGAGUUCAUGUGAGGACACACAUGAAUAUUAGACUAGCACAUGUAUUAGUUGAUGACUAUGUUUCACAAGUCAUGGACAUGGAGAUGUUGAACUAAUAAUGUGGACACAUGUGGAGACAUGUGCUAGGACUGACCCAACACGAGAAGUAGUUCUCUCUUUAAACAACAUAUACGCUUUGUCCUUAGACCUGAGAUUGUCGCAUGUAUUCUAGAUGUGGAUCGACCUACUUAGGGGCUAUCAAACGCUACGCCGUAACAGGGUAGUUAUAAAGGUAGCUUUCGGGUUUGUCAAGAAGCAUGCUAUGAGACAUGGUCAAUCAAGAUGGGAUUUGCCCCUCUCUGAUUGAGAGUGAUAUCUCUGGGCCCCUCGAGUGAUCGGAUCCGAAAAUGCAUGGCCAUGCUACGUACGGUUAAGAGUUAACCUACAAAGGGAUUCCGAAUCACAGGAUCGAGAAAGAGCGGUCGGCUUGAAGCUAGACCAAAUAUCGUGAGGCAAAGGGAAUAGCAUGUAUAUUAUGUUGUGAUGGUUCGUCUGAUAUGAUCUUCGUAUGCGUAUAGGAGUUGGCACGUCUUGCUAGAGGCCGCUACCGACUAUUGGGCCGAGUAGGAGUACUCGGGCCAUGUCUAUACGUAUCCGAACCCAUAGGGUCACACACUUAAGGGGCUGGAAGCCCAAUUCGGAUCUGAUCCGAGUUGGAUUAGGUUUAGGAGUACUAAUGGGCCUCGGAUCCAGAGGCCCAUCAGGAACCUCUAUAAAUAGAGGGGUGGGGGCGCCCUAGGGUUUACAAUUUUUGGCUGAACACACUUGCCGCGCCUCCCACGCCCUCGCCUGUUGCAACUCGCGGAUCUAGCAAUCCGGCUUGCGACGCUUCCUCCCUGCACGUGUGGAUACCUUGGAGGUGUUGCGCCUGCAGCACUUGGACGAGCCAUCGACGAGCCGCCGACGAGCCACGACGAGCCGACGACGGGCCGCGGUACCGGAGGCGAUCUUGCUGUGCACGUGGACGAGCUGCUGAGGAGCUGCUGGACGUGAUCGACUACGUACGACUACGUUGAUCGACUACGUACGACUACGUGAUCGUCUUCACUGCAUCGACACAUAUCUACAUCUUCCGCACCAGUAGUGCGUCGAGUGGUAAUCCCGUGAUCCUUAUACGGCAGUUCUUCCUGGUUAUACGCGGUAGAAAUUUUGAUUUGCGCUAGUGUAGCCUACCUCGUAUCCCAACAGAAAAUAUGUGCUAUAGGUCACGGGAGCCAGAAUACCGUCACACCGGCAUCCGGGGUCAAACACAUGGGGGAUGGUCCGAAGCCGUGAAAAUGGCCUCCGGACCUGUUUUCUGCCAAGAAAAUGAGUGCUAUAGGUCACGCGAGCCUGAAUACGGUCACACCGGCAUCCGGGGUCGAAAACGUGGGGGAUGGUCCGAAGCCGUGAAAUUGGCCUCCGGACCCGUUUUCCACCAAGAAAAUGUGUGCUAUAGGUCACGGGAGCCCGAGUACGGUCACACAGGCAUCCGGCGUCGAAAACGUGGGGGAUGGUCCGAAGCCGUGAAAAUGGCCUCCGGACCCGUUUUAUGCAAGGAAAACGUGUGCUAUAGGUCAUGGGAGCUCGAAUACGAUCACACCGACAACUGGGGUCGAAAACGUGGGGGAUGGUCAAAAGCCGUGAAAAUGGCCUCCGGACCCGUUUUCGGCCGUGAAAACGUGGGCUAUAAGUCACGGGAGCCCGAAUAUGCUAACACCGACAACCGGGGUUGAAAACGUGGAGGAUGGUCCGAAGCCAUGAAAAUGGCCUCCGGACCCGUUUUCGGCCCUGAAAACAUGUGCUAUAGGUUACGGGAUCCCGAAUACCGUCACAUCGGCAUCCGGGGUCAAACACGUGGGGGAUGGUCCGAAGCCGUGAAAAUGGCCUCCGGACCCGUUUUCUGCCAAGAAAAUGAGUGCUAUAGGUCACGGGAGCCCGAAUACGGUUAACCGGCAUCCCGGGUCGAAAACGUGGGGGAUGGUCCGAAGCCGUGAAAUUGGCCUCCGGACCCGUUUUCCACCAAGAAAAUGUGUGCUAUAGGUCACGGGAGCCCGAGUACGGUCACACAGGCAUCCGGCGUCGAAAACGUGGGGGAUGGUCCGAAGCCGUGAAAAUGGCCUCCGACCCGUUUUCCACCAAGAAAAUGUGUGCUAUAGGUCACGGGAGCCUGAAUACGGUUACACCAACAACCGGGGUCGAAAACGUGGGGGAUGGUCCGAAGCCGUAAAAAUAGCCUCCGGACCCAUUUUCGGCCAUGCAAACGUGUGCUAUAGGUCACGGGACCCGAGUACGGUCACACAGGCAUCCGGGGUCGAAAACGUGGGGGAUGGUCCGAAGCCGUGAAAAUGGCCUCCGGACCCGUUUUCUGCUAGAAAAACGUGUGUGGUCACGAGGGCCCGAAUAUGGUAACACCGACAACCGGGGUCGAAAACGUGGGGGAUGGUCCGAAGUCGUGAAAAUGGCCUCCGGACCUGUUUUCGGCCGUGAAAACGUGGGCUAUAGGUCACGAGAGCCCGAAUACGGUCACACUGGCAUCCGGGUCGAAAACGUGGGGGAUGGUCCGAAGCCGUGAAAAUGGCCUCCGGACCCGUUUUCUGCAAGGAAAACGUGUGCUAUAGGUCACGGGAGCCCGAAUACGAUCACACUUACAACCGGGGUCGAAAACGUGGGGAAUGUUCCAAAGCCGUGAAAAUGGCUUCCGGACCCGUUUUCUGCUAGGAAAAUGUGUGCUAUAGGUCAUGGGAGCCCGAAUACGAUCACACUUACAACCGGGGUCGAAAACGUGGGUGAUGGUCGGAAGCCGUGAAAAUGGCCUCCGGACCCAUUUUCGGCCGUGAAAACGUGUGCUAUAGGUCAUGGGAGCCCGAACAGGGUAACACCGACAACCGGGGUCGAAAACGUGGGGGAUGGUCCGAAGCCGUGAAAAUGGCCUCCAGACCCGUUUUAUGCAAGGAAAACGUGUGCUAUAGGUCAUGGGAGCUCGAUACGAUCACACCGACAACUGGGGUCGAAAACGUGGGGGAUGGUCAAAAGCCGUGAAAAUGGCCUCCGGACCCGUUUUCGGUCGUGAAAACGUGUGCUAUAAGUCACGGGAGCCCGAACAUGGUAACACCGACAACCGGGGUCGAAAACGUGGGGGAUGGUCCGAAGCCGUGAAAAUGGCCUUCGGACCCGUUUUCGGCUGUGAAAACAUGUGCUAUAGGUCAGGGGAGCCCGAAUACCGUCACACCGGCAUCCGGGGUCAAACACGUGGGGGAUGGUCCGAAGCCGUGAAAAUGGCCUCCGGACCCGUUUUCCACCAAGAAAAUGUGUGCUAUAGGUCACGGGAGCCUGAAUACGGUUACACCGACAACCGGGGUCGAAAACGUGGGGGAUGGUCCGAAGCCGUAAAAAUAGCCUCCGGACCCAUUUUCGGCCAUGCAAACGUGUGCUAUAGGUCACGGGACCCGAGUACGGUCACACAGGCAUCCGGGGUCGAAAAUGUGGGGGAUGGUCCGAAGCCGUGAAAAUGGCCUCCGGACCCGUUUUCUGCUAGAAAAACGUGUGCGGUCACGAGGGCCCGAAUAUGGUAACACCGACAACCGGGGUCGAAAACGUGGGGGAUGGUCGGAAGUCGUGAAAAUGGCCUCCGGACCUGUUUUCGGCCGUGAAAACGUGGGCUAUAGGUCACGAGAGCCCGAAUACGGUCACACUGGCAUCCGGGUCGAAAACGUGGGGGAUGGUCCGAAGAAGUGAAAAUGGCCUCCGGACCCGUUUUCUGCUAGGAAAAAUGUGUGCGGUCAUGGGAGCCCGAAUAUGGUAACACGGACAACAGGGGUCGAAAACGUGGGGGAUGGCCCGAAGCCGUGAAAAUGGCCUCCGGACCCGUUUUGUUCUAGGAAAACGUGUGCUAUAGGUCACGGGAGCCCGAACAUGGUAACACCGACAACCGGGGUCGAAAACGUGGGGGAUGGUCCGAAGCCGUGAAAAUGGCCUUCGGACCCGUUUUCGGCCGUGAAAACAUGUGCUAUAGGUCAGGGGAGCCCGAAUACCGUCACACCGGCAUCCGGGGUCAAACACGUGGGGGAUGGUCCGAAGCCGUGAAAAUGGCCUCCGGACCCGUUUUCUGCCAAGAAAAUGAGUGCUAUAGGUCACGGGAGCCCGAAUACGGUCAACCGGCAUCCCGGGUCGAAAACGUGGGGGAUGGUCCGAAGCCGUGAAAUUAGCCUCCGGACCCGUUUUCCACCAAGAAAAUGUGUGCUAUAGGUCACGGGAGCCCGAAUACGGUUACACCCACAACCGGGGUCGAAAACGUGGGGGAUGGUCCGAAGCCGUAAAAAUGGCCUUCGGACCCAUUUUCGGCCAUGCAAACGUGUGCUAUAGGUCACGGGAGCCCGAGUACGGUCACGCAGGCAUCCGGGGUUGAAAAUGUGAGGGAUGGUCCGAAGCCGUGAAAUUGGCCUCCGGACCCGUUUGCUGCUAGGAAAACGUGUGCGGUCACGGGAGCCCGAAUAUGGUAACACGGACAACUGGGGUCUAAAACGUGGGGGACGGUUCGAAGCCGUGAAAAUGGCCUCCGGACCCAUUUUCGGCUGUGAAAACGUGGGCUAUAGGUCACGAGAAUCCGAAUACAGUCACACCGGCAUCCGGGGUCGAAAAUGUGGGGGAUUGUCCGAAGCCGUGAAAAUGGCCUCUGGACCCGUUUUCUGCUAGGAAAACGUGUGCUAUAGGUCACGGGAGCCCGAAUAUGGUAACACAGACAACCGGGGUCGAAAACGUGGGGGAUGGUCCGAAGCCGUGAAAAUGGCCUUCGGACCCGUUUUCGGCCGUGAAAAAAUGUGCUAUAGGUCACGGGAGCCCGAAUACCUUCACACCGGCAUCCGAGGUCAAACACAUGGGGGAUGGUCCGAAGCCGUGAAAAUGGCCUCCGAACCCGUUUUCGGCCAAGAAAAUGAGUGCUAUAGGUCACGGGAGCCCGAAUACGGUCACACCGGCAUCCGGGGUCGAAAACGUGGGGGAUGGUCCGAAGCCGUGAAAAUGGCCUCCGUACCCGUUUUCUGCCGUGAAAAUGUGUGCUAUAGGUCAUGGGAGCUCGAAUACGAUCACACCGACAACCGGGGUCGAAAAUGUGGGAGAUGGUCCGAAGCCGUAAAAAUGGCCUUCGGACCCAUUUUCGGCCAUGCAAACGUGUGCUAUAGGUCACGAAAGCCCGAAUAUGGUAACACCGACAACCGGGGUCGAAAAUGUGGGGGAUGGUAAGAAGCCGUGAAAUUGGCCUCCGGACCCGUUUUCUGCUAGGAAAACGUGUGCGGUCACGGGAGCCCGAAUAUGGUAACACAGACAACUGGGGUCGAAAACGUGGGGGAUGGUCCGAAGCCAUGAAAAUGGCCUCUGGACCCGUUUUCGGCCGUGAAAACAUGUGCUAUAGGUCACGGGAGCCCGAAUACCGUCACACCGGCAUCAGGGGUUGAAAACGUGGGGGAUUGUCCGAAGCCGUGAAAAUGGCCUACGGACCCGUUUUCUGCUAGGAAAAUGUGUGCGGUCACGGGAGCCCGAAUAUGGUAACACCGACAACUGGGGUUGAAAACAUGGGGGAUGUUCCGAAGCCGUGAAAAUGGCCUCCGGACCGAUUUUCGGCAGUGAAAACGUGCGCUAUAGAUCAAGGGAGCCCGAAUACGGUCACAAUGGCAACUGGGAUCGAAAACGUGGGGCAUGGUCUGAAAUCGUGAAUAUGGCCUCUAGACCCGUUUUCUGCCAAGAAAAUGAGUGCUAUAGGUCACGGGAGCCCGAAUACGGUCACACCGGCAUCCGGGGUUGAAAACGUGGGGGAUGGUCCGAAGCCGUGAAAAUGGCCUUCAGACCCGUUUUGUGCUAGGAAAACGUGUGCUAUAGGUCACGGGAGCCCGAAUAUGGUAACACCGACAACCGGGGUUGAAAACGUGGGGGAUGGUCCGAAGCCGUAAAAAUAGCCUUCGGACCCGUUUUCGGCUGUGAAAACAUGUGCUAUAGGUCACGGGAGCCCGAAUACGGUCACACCGGCAUCCGGGGUCAAACACGUGGGGGAUGGUCCGAAGCCGUGAAAAUGGCCUCCGGACCCGUUUUUUGCCAAGAAAAUGAGUGCUAUAGGUCACGGGAGCCCGAAUACGGUAACACCGACAACAGGGGUCAAAAACGUGGGGGAUGGUCCAAAGCCGGAAAAAUGGCCUCCGGACCCGUUUUCGGCCGUGAAAACGUGUGCUAUAGGUCACGGGAGCUUGAAUACGAUCACACCGGCAUCCAGGGUCGAAAAUGUGGGGAAAUGUCCGAAGCCGUGAAAAUGGCCUCCGGACCCGUUUUCUGCCAAGAAAACGUGUGCUAUAGGUCACGGGAGCCUAAAUACGGUAACACCGCCAACCGGGGUCGAAAACGCGGGGGAUGGUCCGAAGCCGUGAAAACGGCCUCCGGACACAUUUUCGGCCGUGAAAACGUGGGCUAUAGGUCACGAGAGCCCGAAUACGGUCACACCGGCAUCCGGGGUCGAGAACGUGGGGGAUGGUCCCAAGCCGUGAAAAUGGCCUCCGGACCCGUUUUCGGCCGUGAAACCGUCUACUAAAGGUCACGGGAGCCCGAAUACGGUCACACCGGCAUGCGGGUUCGAAAACGUGGGGGACGGUCCGAAGCCGUGAAAUUGGCCUCCGGACCCGUUUUCCACCAAGAAAAUGUGUGCUAUAGGUCACGGGAGCCCGAAUACGGUUACACCGACAACCGGGGUCGAAAACGUGGAGGAUGGUCCGAAGCCGUAAAAAUAGCCUCCGGACCCAUUUUCGGCCAUGCAAACGUGUGCUAUAGGUCACGGGAGCCCGAGUACGGUCACACAGGCAUCCGGCGUCGAAAACGUGGGGGAUGGUCCGAAGCCGUGAAAAUGGCCUCCGGACCCGUUUUCUGCUAGGAAAAAUGUGUGCGGUCAUGGGAUCCCGAAUAUGGUAACACGGACAACAGGGGUCGAAAACGUGGGGGAUGGUCCGAAGCCGUGAAAAUGGCCUCCGGACCUAUUUUCGGCUGUGAAAACGUGGGCUAUAUGUCACGAGAGUCCGAAUACGGUCACACCGGCAUCCGGUGUCGAAAACAUGAGGGAUGGUCCGAAGCCGUGAAAAUGGCCUCGGGACCCAUUUUCUGCUAGGAAAAAGUGUGCGGUCACUGGAGCCCGAAUAUGGUAACACCGCCAACCGGGGUCGAAAACGUGGGGGAUGGUCCGAAGCCGUGAAAACGGCCUCCGAACAUGUUUUGGGCUGUGAAAACGUGGGCUAUAGGUCACGAGAGCCUGAAUACAGUCACACCGGCAUCCGGGGUCGAAAACGUGGGGAAUGGUCCGAAUCCGUGAAAAUGGCCUCCGGACCUGUUUUCUGCCAAGAAAACGUGUGCUAUAGGUCACGGGAGCCUGAAUACGGUAACACCGCCAACCGGGGUCGAAAACGUGGGGGAUCAUCCGAAGCCGUGAAAACAGCCUCCGGAGACGUUUUCGGCCGUGAAAACGUGGGCUAUAGGUCACGAGAGCCCGAAUACGGUCACACCGGCAUCCGGGGUCGAAAACGUGGGGGAUGGUCCAAAGCCGUGAAAAUGGCCUUCGGACCCGGUUUCGGCCAAGAAAACGUGUGCUAUAGGUCACGGGAUCCCGAAUACGGUCACACCGGUAACCGGGGUCUAAAACACAGGUGAUCAUCCGAAGCCGUGAAAAUUGCCUCAGGACCCAUUUUUGGCCAAGAAAACGUGUGCUAUAGGUCACGGGAGACCGAAUACGGUCACACCGGAACCGGGGACGAAAAUGUGGGGGAUGGUCCGAAGCCGUGAAAACGGCCUCCGGACCCAUUUUCGGCUGUGAAAACGUGGGCUAUAGGUCACGGGAGCCCGAGUACGGUCACACAGGCAUCCGGCGUCGAAAACGUGGGGGAUGGUCCGAAGCCGUGAAAAUGGCCUCCGGACCCGUUUUCUGCUAGGAAAAAUGUGUGCGGUCAUGGGAGCCCGAAUAUGGUAACACGGACAACAGGGGUCGAAAACGUGGGGGAUGGUACGAAGCCGUGAAAAUGGCCUCCGGACCGAUUUUCGGCAGUGAAAACGUGCGCUAUAGAUCAAGGGAGCCCGAAUACGGUCACAAUGGCAACUGGGAUCGAAAACGUGGGGCAUGGUCUGAAAUCGUGAAUAUGGCCUCUGGACCCGUUUUCUGCCAAGAAAAUGAGUGCUAUAGGUCACGGGAGCCCGAAUACAGUCACACCGGCAUCCGGGGUUGAAAACGUGGGGGAUGGUCCGAAGCCGUGAAAAUGGCCUUCAGACCCGUUUUGUGCUAGGAAAACGUGUGCUAUAGGUCACGGGAGCCCGAAUAUGGUAACACCGACAACCGGGGUUGAAAACGUGGGGGAUGGUCCGAAGCCGUAAAAAUAGCCUUCGGACCCGUUUUCGGCCGUGAAAACAUGUGCUAUAGGUCACGGGAGCCCGAAUACGGUCACACCGGCAUCCGGGGUCAAACACGUGGGGGAUGGUCCGAAGCCGUGAAAAUGGCCUCCGGACCCGUUUUUUGCCAAGAAAAUGAGUGCUAUAGGUCACGGGAGCCCGAAUACGGUAACACCGACAACAGGGAUCAAAAACGUGGGGGAUGGUCCAAAGCCGGAAAAAUGGCCUCCGGACCCGUUUUCGGCCGUGAAAACGUGUGCUAUAGGUCACGGGAGCCCGAAUACGAUCACACCGGCAUCCGGGGUCGAAAAUGUGGGGAAAUGUCCGAAGCCGUGAAAAUGGCCUCCGGACCCGUUUUCUGCCAAGAAAACGUGUGCUAUAGGUCACCGGAGCCUAAAUACGGUAACACCGCCAACCGGGGUCGAAAACGCGGGGGAUGGUCCGAAGCCGUGAAAACGGCCUCCGGACACAUUUUCGGCCGUGAAAUUGUGGGCUAUAGGUCUCGAGAGCCCGAAUACGGUCACACCGGCAUCCGGGGUCGAGAACGUGGGGGAUGGUCCCAAGCCGUGAAAAUGGCCUCCGGACCCGUUUUCGGCCGUGAAACCGUCUACUAAAGGUCACGGGAGCCCGAAUACGGUCACACCGACAUGCGGGUUCGAAAACGUGGGCGACGGUCCGAAGCCGUGAAAUUGGCCUCCGGACCCGUUUUCCACCAAGAAAAUGUGUGCUAUAGGUCACGGGAGCCCGAAUACGGUUACACCGACAACCGGGGUCGAAAACGUGGAGGAUGGUCCGAAGCCGUAAAAAUAGCCUCCGGACCCAUUUUCGGCCAUGCAAACGUGUGCUAUAGGUCACGGGAGCCCGAGUACGGUCACACAGGCAUCCGGCGUCGAAAACGUGUGGGUUGGUCCGAAGCCGUGAAAAUGGCCUCCGAACCCGUUUUCUGCUAGGAACAAUGUGUGCGGUCAUGGGAGCCCGAAUAUGGUAACACGGACAACAGGGGUCGAAAACGUGGGGGAUGGUCCGAAGCCGUGAAAAUGGCCUCCGGACCUAUUUUCGGCUGUGAAAACGUGGGCUAUAUGUCACGAGAGUCCGAAUACGGUCACACCGGCAUCCGGUGUCGAAAACAUGAGGGAUGGUCCGAAGCCGUGAAAAUGGCCUCGGGACCCAUUUUCUGCUAGGAAAAAGUGUGCGGUCACGGGAGCCCGAAUAUGGUAACACCGCCAACCGGGGUCGAAAACGUGGGGGAUGGUCCGAAACCGUGAAAACGGCCUCCGAACAUGUUUUCGGCUGUGAAAACGUGGGCUAUAGGUCACGAGAGCCUGAAUAGAGUCACACCGGCAUCCGGGGUCGAAAACGUGGGGAAUGGUCCGAAUCCGUGAAAAUGGCCUCCGGACCUGUUUUCUGCCAAGAAAACGUGUGCUAUAGGUCACGGGAGCAUGAAUACGGUAACACCGCCAACCGGGGUCGAAAACGUGGGGGAUCAUCCGAAGCCGUGAAAACAGCCUCCGGAGACGUUUUCGGCCGUGAAAACGUGGGCUAUAGGUCACGAGAGCCCGAAUACGGUCACACCGGCAUCCGGGGUCGAAAACGUGGGGGAUGGUCCAAAGCCCUGAAAAUGGCCUUCGGACCCGGUUUCGGCCAAGAAAACGUGUGCUAUAGGUCACGGGAUCCCGAAUACGGUCACACCGGUAACCGGGGUCUAAAACAUGGGUGAUCAUCCGAAGCCGUGAAAAUUGCCUCAGGACCCAUUUUUGGCCAAGAAAACGUGUGCUAUAGGUCACGGGAGACCGAAUACGGUCACACCGGAACCGGGGACGAAAAUGUGGGGGAUGGUCCGAAGCCGUGAAAACGGCCUCCGAACAUGUUUUCGGAUGUGAAAACGUGGGCUAUAGGUCACGGGAGCCCGAGUACGGUCACACAGGCAUCCGGCGUCGAAAACGUGGGGGAUGGUCCGAAGCCGUGAAAAUGGCCUCCGGACCCGUUUUCUGCUAGGAAAAAUGUGUGCGGUCAUGGGAGCCCGAAUAUGGUAACACGGACAACAGGGGUCGAAAACGUGGGGGAUGGUCCGAAGCCGUGAAAAUGGCCUCCGGACCUAUUUUCGGCUGUGAAAACGUGGGCUAUAUGUCACGAGAGUCCGAAUACGGUCACACCGGCAUCCGGUGUCGAAAACAUGAGGGAUGGUCUGAAGCCGUGAAAAUGGCCUCGGGACCCAUUUUCUGCUAGGAAAAAGUGUGCGGUCACGGGAGCCCGAAUAUGGUAACACCGCCAACCGGGGUCGAAAACGUGGGGGAUGGUCCGAAGCCGUGAAAACGGCCUCCGAACAUGUUUUCGGCUGUGAAAACGUGGGCUAUAGGUCACGAGAGCCUGAAUACAGUCACACCGGCAUCCGGGGUCGAAAACAUGGGGAAUGGUCCGAAUCCGUGAAAAUGGCCUCCGGACCUGUUUUCUGCCAAGAAAACGUGUGCUAGAGGUCACGGGAGCCUGAAUACGGUAACACCGCCAACCGGGGUCGAAAACGUGGGGGAUCAUCUGAAGCCGUGAAAACAGCCUCCGGAGACGUUUUCGGCCGUGAAAACGUGGGCUAUAGGUCACUAGAGCCCGAAUACGGUCACAUAGGCAUCCGGUGUCGAAAACAUGAGGGAUGGUCCGAAGCCGUGAAAAUGGCCUCGGGACCCAUUUUCUGCUAGGAAAAAGUGUGCGGUCACGGGAGCCCGAAUAUGGUAACACCGCCAACCGGGGUCAAAAACGUGGGGGAUGGUCCGAAGCCGUGAAAACGGCCUCCGAACAUGUUUUCGGCUGUGAAAACGUGGGCUAUAGGUCACGAGAGCCUGAAUACAGUCACACCGGCAUCCGGGGUCGAAAACGUGGGGAAUGGUCCGAAUCCGUGAAAAUGGCCUCCGGACCUGUUUUCUGCCAAGAAAACGUGUGCUAUAGGUCACGGGAGCCUGAAUACGGUAACACCGCCAACCGGGGUCGAAAACGUGGGGGAUCAUCCGAAGCCGUGAAAACAGCCUCCGGAGACGUUUUCGGCCGUGAAAACGUGGGCUAUAGGUCACGAGAGCCCGAAUACGGUCACACCGGCAUCCGGUGUCGAAAACAUGAGGGAUGGUCCGAAGCCGUGAAAAUGGCCUCGGGACCCAUUUUCUGCUAGGAAAAAGUGUGCGGUCACGGGAGCCCGAAUAUGGUAACACCGCCAACCGGGGUCGAAAACGUGGGGGAUGGUCCGAAGCCGUGAAAACGGCCUCCGAACAUGUUUUCGGCUGUGAAAACGUGGGCUAUAGGUCACGAGAGCCUGAAUACAGUCACACCGGCAUCCGGGGUCGAAAACAUGGGGAAUGGUCCGAAUCCGUGAAAAUGGCCUCCGGACCUGUUUUCUGCCAAGAAAACGUGUGCUAGAGGUCACGGGAGCCUGAAUACGGUAACACCGCCAACCGGGGUCGAAAACGUGGGGGAUCAUCUGAAGCCGUGAAAACAGCCUCCGGAGACGUUUUCGGCCGUGAAAACGUGGGCUAUAGGUCACUAGAGCCCGAAUACGGUCACAUAGGCAUCCGGUGUCGAAAACAUGAGGGAUGGUCCGAAGCCGUGAAAAUGGCCUCGGGACCCAUUUUCUGCUAGGAAAAAGUGUGCGGUCACGGGAGCCCGAAUAUGGUAACACCGCCAACCGGGGUCGAAAACGUGGGGGAUGGUCCGAAGCCGUGAAAACGGCCUCCGAACAUGUUUUCGGCUGUGAAAACGUGGGCUAUAGGUCACGAGAGCCUGAAUACAGUCACACCGGCAUCCGGGGUCGAAAACGUGGGGGAUGGUCCGAAGCCGUGAAAAUGGCCUCCGGACCCGUUUUCUGCUAGGAAAAAUGUGUGCGGUCAUGGGAUCCCGAAUAUGGUAACACGGACAACAGGGGUCGAAAACGUGGGGGAUGGUCCGAAGCCGUGAAAAUGGCCUCCGGACCUAUUUUCGGCUGUGAAAACGUGGGCUAUAUGUCACGAGAGUCCGAAUACGGUCACACCGGCAUCCGGUGUCGAAAACAUGAGGGAUGGUCCGAAGCCGUGAAAAUGGCCUCGGGACCCAUUUUCUGCUAUAAAAAAGUGUGCGGUCACUGGAGCCCGAAUAUGGUAACACCGCCAACCGGGGUCGAAAACGUGGGGGAUGGUCCGAAGCCGUGAAAACGGCCUCCGAACAUGUUUUGGGCUGUGAAAACGUGGGCUAUAGGUCACGAGAGCCUGAAUACAGUCACACCGGCAUCCGGGGUCGAAAACGUGGGGAAUGGUCCGAAUCCGUGAAAAUGGCCUCCGGACCUGUUUUCUGCCAAGAAAACGUGUGCUAUAGGUCACGGGAGCCUGAAUACGGUAACACCGCCAACCGGGGUCGAAAACGUGGGGGAUAAUUUGAAGCCGUGAAAACAGCCUCCGGAGACGUUUUCGGCCGUGAAAACGUGGGCUAUAGGUCACGAGAGCCCGAAUACGGUCACACCGGCAUCCGGGGUCGAAAACGUGGGGGAUGGUCCAAAGCCGUGAAAAUGGCCUUCGGACCCGGUUUCGGCCAAGAAAACGUGUGCUAUAGGUCACGGGAUCCCGAAUACGGUCACACCGGUAACCGGGGUCUAAAACACGGGUGAUCAUCCGAAGCCGUGAAAAUUGCCUCAGGACCCAUUUUUGGCCAAGAAAACGUGUGCUAUAGGUCACGGGAGACCGAAUACGGUCACACCGGAACCGGGGACGAAAAUGUGGGGGAUGGUCCGAAGCCGUGAAAACGGCCUCCGAACAUGUUUUCGGCUGUGAAAACGUGGGCUAUAGGUCACGGGAGCCCGAGUACGGUCACACAGGCAUCCGGCGUCGAAAACGUGGGGGAUGGUCCGAAGCCGUGAAAAUGGCCUCCGGACCCGUUUUCUGCUAGGAAAAAUGUGUGCGGUCAUGGGAGCCCGAAUAUGGUAACACGGACAACAGGGGUCGAAAACGUGGGGGAUGGUCCGAAGCCGUGAAAAUGGCCUCCGGACCUAUUUUCGGCUGUGAAAACGUGGGCUAUAUGUCACGAGAGUCCGAAUACGGUCACACCGGCAUCCGGUGUCGAAAACAUGAGGGAUGGUCCGAAGCCGUGAAAAUGGCCUCGGGACCCAUUUUCUGCUAGGAAAAAGUGUGCGGUCACGGGAGCCCGAAUAUGGUAACACCGCCAACCGGGGUCGAAAACGUGGGGGAUGGUCCGAAGCCGUGAAAACGGCCUCCGAACAUGUUUUCGGAUGUGAAAACGUGGGCUAUAGGUCACGAGAGCCUGAAUACAGUCACACCGGCAUCCGGGGUCGAAAACGUGGGGAAUGGUCCGAAUCCGUGAAAAUGGCCUCCGGACCUGUUUUCUGCCAAGAAAACGUGUGCUAUAGGUCACGGGAGCCUGAAUACGGUAACACCGCCAACCGGGGUCGAAAACGUGGGGGAUCAUCCGAAGCCGUGAAAACAGCCUCCGGAGACGUUUUCGGCCGUGAAAACGUGGGCUAUAGGUCACGAGAGCCCGAAUACGGUCACACCGGCAUCCGGGGUCGAAAACGUGGGGGAUGGUCCAAAGCCGUGAAAAUGGCCUUCGGACCCGGUUUCGGCCAAGAAAACGUGUGCUAUAGGUCACGGGAUCCCGAAUACGGUCACACCGGUAACCGGGGUCUAAAACACGGGUGAUCAUCCGAAGCCGUGAAAAUUGCCUCAGGACCCAUUUUUGGCCAAGAAAACGUGUGCUAUAGGUCACGGGAGACCGAAUACGGUCACACCGGAACCGGGGACGAAAAUGUGGGGGAUGGUCCGAAGCCGUGAAAACGGCCUCCGAACAUGUUUUCGGCUGUGAAAACGUGGGCUAUAGGUCACGGGAGCCCGAGUACGGUCACACAGGCAUCCGGCGUCGAAAACGUGGGGGAUGGUCCGAAGCCGUGAAAAUGGCCUCCGGACCCGUUUUCUGCUAGGAAAAAUGUGUGCGGUCAUGGGAGCCCGAAUAUGGUAACACGGACAACACGGGUCGAAAACGUGGGGGAUGGUCCGAAGCCGUGAAAAUGGCCUCCGGACCUGUUUUCUGCCAAGAAAACGUGUGCUAUAGGUCACGGGAGCCUGAAUACGGUAACACCGCCAACCGGGGUCGAAAACGUGGGGGAUCAUCCGAAGCCGUGAAAACAGCCUCCGGAGACGUUUUCGGCCGUGAAAACGUGGGCUAUAGGUCACGAGAGCCCGAAUACGGUCACACCGGCAUCCGGGGUCGAAAACGUGGGGGAUGGUCCAAAGUCGUGAAAAUGGCCUUCGGACCCGGUUUCGGCCAAGAAAACGUGUGCUAUAGGUCACGGGAUCCCGAAUACGGUCACACCGGUAACCGGGGUCUAAAACACGGGUGAUCAUCCGAAGCGGUGAAAAUUGCCUCAGGACCCAUUUUUGGCCAAGAAAACGUGUGCUAUAGGUCACGGGAGACAGAAUACGGUCACACCGGAACCAGGGACGAAAAUGUGGGGGAUGGUCCGAAGCCGUGAAAACGGCCUCCGGACCUAUUUUCGGCUGUGAAAACGUGGGCUAUAUGUCACGAGAGUCCGAAUACGGUCACACCGGCAUCCGGUGUCGAAAACAUGAGGGAUGGUCCGAAGCCGUGAAAAUGGCCUCGGGACCCAUUUUCUGCUAGGAAAAAGUGUGCGGUCACGGGAGCCCGAAUAUGGUAACACCGCCAACCGGGGUCGAAAACGUGGGGGAUGGUCCGAAGCCGUGAAAACGGCCUCCGAACAUGUUUUCGGAUGUGAAAACGUGGGCUAUAGGUCACGAGAGCCUGAAUACAGUCACACCGGCAUCCGGGGUCGAAAACGUGGGGAAUGGUCCGAAUCCGUGAAAAUGGCCUCCGGACCUGUUUUCUGCCAAGAAAACGUGUGCUAUAGGUCACGGGAGCCUGAAUACGGUAACACCGCCAACCGGGGUCGAAAACGUGGGGGAUCAUCCGAAGCCGUGAAAACAGCCUCCGGAGACGUUUUCGGCCGUGAAAACGUGGGCUAUAGGUCACGAGAGCCCGAAUACGGUCACACCGGCAUCCGGGGUCGAAAACGUGGGGGAUGGUCCAAAGCCGUGAAAAUGGCCUUCGGACCCGGUUUCGGCCAAGAAAACGUGUGCUAUAGGUCACGGGAUCCCGAAUACGGUCACACCGGUAACCGGGGUCUAAAACACGGGUGAUCAUCCGAAGCCGUGAAAAUUGCCUCAGGACCCAUUUUUGGCCAAGAAAACGUGUGCUAUAGGUCACGGGAGACCGAAUACGGUCACACCGGAACCGGGGACGAAAAUGUGGGGGAUGGUCCGAAGCUGUGAAAACUGCCUCCGGACCUAUUUUCGGCUGUGAAAACGUGGGCUAUAUGUCACGAGAGUCCGAAUACGGUCACACCGGCAUCCGGUGUCGAAAACAUGAGGGAUGGUCCGAAGCCGUGAAAAUGGCCUCGGGACCCAUUUUCUGCUAGGAAAAAGUGUGCUAUAGGUCACGGGAGCCCGGGUACGGUCACACAGGCAUCCGGCGUCGAAAACGUGGGGGAUGGUCCGAAGCCGUGAAAAUGGCCUCCGGACCCGUUUUCUGCUAGGAAAAAUGUGUGCGGUCAUGGGAGCCCGAAUAUGGUAACACGGACAACAGGGGUCGAAAACGUGGGGGAUGGUCCGAAGCCGUGAAAAUGGCCUCCGGACCUGUUUUCUGCCAAGAAAACGUGUGCUAUAGGUCACGGGAGCCUGAAUACGGUAACACCGCCAACCGGGGUCGAAAACGUGGGGGAUCAUCCGAAGCCGUGAAAACAGCCUCCGGAGACGUUUUCGGCCGUGUAAACGUGGGCUAUAGGUCACGAGAGCCCGAAUACGGUCACACCGGCAUCCGGGGUCGAAAACGUGGGGGAUGGUCCAAAGUCGUGAAAAUGGCCUUCGGACCCGGUUUCGGCCAAGAAAACGUGUGCUAUAGGUCACGGGAUCCCGAAUACGGUCACACCGGUAACCGGGGUCUAAAACACGGGUGAUCAUCCGAAGCGGUGAAAAUUGCCUCAGGACCCAUUUUUGGCCAAGAAAACGUGUGCUAUAGGUCACGGGAGACAGAAUACGGUCACACCGGAACCAGGGACGAAAAUGUGGGGGAUGGUCCGAAGCCGUGAAAACGGCCUCCGGACCUAUUUUCGGCUGUGAAAACGUGGGCUAUAUGUCACGAGAGUCCGAAUACGGUCACACCGGCAUCCGGUGUCGAAAACAUGAGGGAUGGUCCGAAGCCGUGAAAAUGGCCUCGGGACCCAUUUUCUGCUAGGAAAAAGUGUGCGGUCACGGGAGCCCGAAUAUGGUAACACCGCCAACCGGGGUCGAAAACGUGGGGGAUGGUCCGAAGCCGUGAAAACGGCCUCCGAACCUUUUUUCGGCUGUGAAAACGUGGGCUAUAGGUCACGAGAGCCUGAAUACAGUCACACCGGCAUCCGGGGUCGAAAACGUGGAUAAUGGUCCGAAUCGAUGAAAAUGGCCUCCGGACCUGUUUUCUGCCAAGAAAACGUGUGCUAUAGGUCACGGGAGCCUGAAUACGGUAACACCGCCAACCGGGGUCGAAAACGUGGGGGAUCAUCCGAAGCCGUGAAAACAGCCUCCGGAGACGUUUUCGGCCGUGAAAACGUGGGCUAUAGGUCACGAGAGCCCGAAUACGGUCACACCGGCAACCGGGGUCGAAAACGUGGGGGAUGGUCCAAAGUCGUGAAAAUGGCCUUCGGACCCGGUUUCGGCCAAGAAAACGUGUGCUAUAGGUCACGGGAUCCCGAUUACGGUCACACCGGUAACCGGGGUCUAAAACACGGGUGAUCAUCCGAAGCCGUGGAAAUUGCCUCAGGACCCAUUUUUGGCCAAGAAAACGUGUGCUAUAGGUCACGGGAGACCGAAUACGGUCACACCAGAACCGGGGACGAAAAUGUGGGGGAUGGUCCGAAGCUGUGAAAACUGCCUCCGGACCUAUUUUCGGCUGUGAAAACGUGGGCUAUAUGUCACGAGAGUCCGAAUACGGUCACACCGGCAUCCGGUGUCGAAAACAUGAGGGAUGGUCCGAAGCCGUGAAAAUGGCCUCGGGACCCAUUUUCUGCUAGGAAAAAGUGUGCUAUAGGUCACGGGAGCCCGAAUACGAUCACACCGGCAUCCGGGGUCGAAAACGUGGGGAAUGGUCCGAAGCCGUGAAAAUGGCCUUCGGACCCGUUUUGUGCUAGGAAAACGUGUGCUAUAGGUCACGGGAGCCCGAAUAUGGCAACACCAACAACCGGGGUCGAAAACGUGGGGGAUGGUCCGAAGCCGUAAAAAUGGCCUUCGGACCCAUUUUUGACCGUGAAAACAUGUGCUAUAGGUCAGGGGAGCCCGAAUACGGUCACACCGGCAUACGGGGUCAAACACGUGGGGGAUGGUCUGAAGCCGUGAAAAUGGCCUCCGGACCAGUUUUCUGCCAAGAAAAUGAGUGCUAUAGGUCACGGGAGCCCGAAUACGGUCACACCGGCAUCCGGGGUCGAAAACGUUGGGGAUGGUCCGAAGCCGUGAAAAUGGCCUUCAGACCCGUUUUGUGCUAGGAAAACGUGUGCUAUAGGUCACGGGAGCCCGAAUAUGGUAACACCGACAACCGGGGUCGAAAACGUGGGGGAUGGUCCGAAGCCGUGAAAAUGGCCUUCGGACCCGUUUUCGGCCGUGAAAACAUGUGCUAUAGGUCAGGGGAGCCCGAAUACCGUCACACCGGCAUCCGGGGUCAAACACGUGGGGGAUGGUCCGAAGCCGUGAAAAUGGCCUCCGGACCCGUUUUCUGCCAAGAAAAUGAGUGCUAUAGGUCACGGGAGCCCGAAUACGGUGACACCGACAACAGGGGUCGAAAACGUGGGGGAUGGUCCGAAGCUGGAAAAAUGGCCUCCGGACCCGUUUUCGGCCGUGAAAACAUGUGCUAUAGGUCACGGGAGCCCGAAUACGAUCACACCGGCAUCCGGGGUCAAAAACGUGGGGAAUGGUCCGAAGCCGUGAAAAUGGCCUCCAGACCCGUUUUCUGGCUAGAAAACGUGUGCUAUAGGUCACGGGAGCCUAAAUUUGGUAACACCGCCAACCGGGGUCGAAAACACGGGGGAUGGUCCGAAGCCGUGAAAAUGGCCUCCGGACCCGUUUUGCUGCUAAGAAAAUGAGUGCUAUAGGUCAUGGGAGCCCGAAUACGGUAACACCGACAACAGGGGUCGAAAACGUGGGGGAUGGUCCGAAGCCGGAUAAAUGGCCUCCGGACCCGUUUUCGGCCGUGAAAACGUGUGCUAUAGGUCACGGGAGCCCGAAUACGAUCACACCGGCAUCCGGGGUCGAAAACGUGGGGAAUGGUCCGAAGCCGUGAAAAUGGCCUCCGGACCCGUUUUCUGCUAAGAAAACGUGUGCUAUAGGUCACGGGAGCCUAAAUUUGGUAACACCGCCAACCGGGGUCGAAAACGCGGGGGAUGGUCCGAAGCCGUGAAAACGGCCUCCAGACACAUUUUCGGCCGUGAAAACGUGGGCUAUAGGUCACGAGAGCCCGAAUACGGUCACACGGCAUCCGGGGUCGAGAACGUGGGGGAUGGUCCAAAGCCGUGAAAAUGGCCUCCGGACCCGUUUUCGGCCGUGAAACCGUCUGCUAAAGGUCACGGGAGCCCGAAUACGGUCACACCGGCAUGCGGGGUCGAAAACGUGGGGGAUGGUCCGAAGCCGUGAAAUUGGCCUCCAGACCCGUUUUCCACCAAGAAAAUGUGUGCUAUAGGUCACAGGAGCUCGAAUACCGUUACACCGACAACCGGGGUCGAAAACGUGGGGGAUGGUCCGAAGCCGUAAAAAUAGCCUCCGGACCCAUUUUCGGCCAUGCAAACGUGUGCUAUAGGUCACGGGACCCGAGAACGGUCACACAGGCAUCCGGGGUCGAAAACGUGGGGGAUGGUCCGAAGCCGUGAAAAUGGCCUCCGGACCCGCUUUCUGCUAGGAAAACGUAUGCUAUAGGUCACAGGAGCCCGAAUAUGGUAACACCGAGAACCGGGGUCGAAAACGUGGGGGAUGGUCCGAAGCCAUGAAAAUGGCCUCCGGACCCGUUUUCGACCGUGAAAACAUGUGCUAUAGGUCACGGGAUCCCGAAUACGGUCACACCGGCAGCCGAGGUUGAAAACGUGGGGGGUGGUCCGAUACCGUGAAAUUGGCCUCCGGUUCGUUUUCCACGAAGAAAUUGUGUGCUAUAGGUCACGGGAGCCCGAAUACGGUUACACCGGCAUCUGGGGUUGAAAACGUGGGGGAUGGUUCGAAGCCGUGAAAUUGGCCUCCGGUUCAUUUUCCACCAAGAAAAUGUGUGCUAUAGGUCACAGGAGCCCGAAUACGGUUACACUGACAACCGGGGUUGAAAACGUGGGGGAUGGUUCGAAGCCGUGAAAUUGGCCUCCGGUUCAUUUUCCACCAAGAAAAUGUGUGCUAUAGGUCACGGGAGCCCGAAUACGGUUACACCGACAACCGGGGUCGAAAACGUGGGGGAUGGUCCGAAGCCAUGAAAAUGGCCUCCGGACCCGUUUUCGGCCAUGAAAACAUGUGCUAUAGGUCACGGGAGCCCGAAUACGGUCACACCGGCAUCUGGGGUUGAAAACGUGGGGGAUGGUUCGAAGCCGUGAAAUUGGCCUCCGGUUCAUUUUCCACCAAGAAAAUGUGUGCUAUAGGUCACGGGAGCCCGAAUACGGUUACACCGACAACCGGGGUCGAAAACGUGGGGGAUGGUCCGAAGCCAUGAAAAUGGCCACCGGACCCGUUUUCGGCCGUGAAAACAUGUGCUAUAGGUCACGGGAGCCCGAAUACGGUCACACCGGCAUCUAGGGUCGAAAACGUGGGGGAUGGUCCGAAGCCGUGAAAAUGGCCUCCGGACCCGUUUUCUUCCAAGAAAACGUGUGCUAUAGGUCACGGGAGACUGAAUACGGUCACACCAGCAACCGGUGUCGAAAACGUGGGGAAGGUCCGAAAUCGUGAAAAUGGCCUCCGGACCCGUUUUCUUCCAAGAAAACGUGUGCUAUAGGUCACCGGAGCCCGAAUACAGUCACACCGGGAACCGGGGUCGAAAACGUGGGUGAUCGUCCCAAGCUGUAAAAAUGGCCUCCGGACCCGUUUUCUGCCAAGAAAAUGUGUGCUAUAGGUCACGGGAGCCUGAAUACGGUCACACCAGCCACAGGGGUCGAAAACGUGGGGGAUGGUCCGAAGCCAUGAAAAUGGCCUUCGGACCCGUUUUGUGCUAGGAAAACGUGUGCUAUAGGUCACGGGAGCCCGAAUAUGGCAACACCACCAACUGGGGUCGAAAACGUGGGGGAUGGUCCGAAGCCGUAAAAAUGGCCUUCGGACCCGUUUUCGACCGUGAAAACAUGUGCUAUAGGUCAGGGGAGCCCGAAUACGGUCACACCGGCAUACGGGGUCAAACACGUGGGGGAUGGUCCGAAGCCGUGAAAAUGGCCUCCGGACCAGUUUUCUGCCAAGAAAAUGAGUGCUAUAGGUCACGGGAGCCCGAAUACGGUCACACCGGCAUCCGGGGUCGAAAACGUUGGGGAUGGUCCGAAGCCGUGAAAAUGGCCUUCAGACCCGUUUUGUGCUUGGAAAACGUGUGCUAUAGGUCACGGGAGCCCGAAUAUGGUAACACCGACAACCGGGGUCGAAAACGUGGGGGAUGGUCCGAAGCCGUGAAAAUGGCCUUCGGACCCGUUUUCGGCCGUGAAAACAUGUGCUAUAGGUCAGGGGAGCCCGAAUACCGUCACACCGGCAUCCGGGGUCAAACACGUGGGGGAUGGUCCGAAGCCGUGAAAAUGACCUCCGGACCCGUUUUCUGCCAAGAAAAUGAGUGCUAUAGGUCACGGGAGCCCGAAUACGGUGACACCGACAACAGGGGUCGAAAACGUGGGGGAUGGUCCGAAGCCGGAAAAAAUGGCCUCCGGACCCGUUUUCGGCCGUGAAAACAUGUGCUAUAGGUCAUGGGAGCCCGAAUACGAUCACACCGGCAUCCGGGGUCGAAAACGUGGGGAAUGGUCCGAAGCCGUGAAAAUGGCCUCCAGACCCGUUUUCUGGCUAGAAAACGUGUGCUAUAGGUCACGGGAGCCUAAAUUUGGUAACACCGCCAACCGGGGUCGAAAACACGGGGGAUGGUCCGAAGCCGUGAAAAUGGCCUCCGGACCCGUUUUGCUGCCAAGAAAAUGAGUGCUAUAGGUCAUGGGAGCCCGAAUACGGUAACACCGACAACAGGGGUCGAAAACGUGGGGGAUGGUCCGAAGCCGGAUAAAUGGCCUCCGGACCCGUUUUCGGCCGUGAAAACGUGUGCUAUAGGUCACGGGAGCCCGAAUACGAUCACACCGGCAUCCGGGGUCGAAAACGUGGGGAAUGGUCCGAAGCCGUGAAAAUGGCCUCCGAACCCGUUUUCUGCUAAGAAAACGUGUGCUAUAGGUCACGGGAGCCUAAAUUUGGUAACACCGCCAACCGGGGUCGAAAACGCGGGGGAUGGUCUGAAGCCGUGAAAACGGCCUCCAGACACAUUUUCGGCCGUUAAAACGUGGGCUAUAGGUCACGAGAGCCCGAAUACGGUCACACGGCAUCCGGGGUCGAGAACGUAGGGGAUGGUCCAAAGCCGUGAAAAUGGCCUCCGGACCCGUUUUCGGCCGUGAAACCGUCUGCUAAAGGUCACGGGAGCCCGAAUACGGUCACACCGGCAUGCGGGGUCGAAAACGUGGGGGAUGGUCCGAAGCCGUGAAAUUGGCCUCCAGACCCGUUUUCCACCAAGAAAAUGUGUGCUAUAGGUCACGGGAGCUCGAAUACCGUUACACCGACAACCGGGGUCGAAAACGUGGGGGAUGGUCCGAAGCCGUAAAAAUAGCCUCCGGACCCAUUUUCGGCCAUGCAAACGUGUGCUAUAGGUCAUGGGACCCAAGAACGGUCACACAGGCAUCCGGGGUCGAAAACGUGGGGGAUGGUCCGAAGCCGUGAAAAUGGCCUCCGGACCCGUUUUCUGCUAGGAAAAACGUGUGCGGUCAUGGGAGCCCGAAUAUGGUAACACGGACAACAGGGGUCGAAAACGUGGGGGAUGGUCCGAAGCCGUGAAAAUGGCCUCCGGACCUAUUUUCGGCUGUGAAAACGUGGCCUAUAUGUCACGAGAGUCCGAAUACGGUCACACCGGCAUCCGGUCUUGAAAACGUGGGGGAUGGUCCAAAGCCGUGAAAAUGGCCUCGGGACCCGUUUUCUGCUAGGAAAAAGUGUGCGGUCACGGGAGCCCGAAUAUGGUAACACCGCCAACCGGGGUCGAAAACGUGGGGGAUGGUCCGAAGCCGUGAAAAUGGCCUUCGGACCCGUUUUCGGCCGUGAAAAUAUGUGCUAUAGGUCACGGGAGGCCGAAUACCGUCACACCGGCAUCCGGGGUCAAACACAUGGGGGAUGGUCCGAAGCCGUGAAAAUGGCCUCCGGACCCGUUUUCUGCCAAGAAAAUGAGUGCUAUAGGUCACGCGAGCCUGAAUACGGUCACACCGGCAUCCGGGGUCGAAAACGUGGGGGAUGGUCCGAAGCCGUGAAAUUCGCCUCCGGACCCGUUUUCCACAAAGAAAAUGUGUGCUAUAGGUCACUCGAUCCCGAAUACAGUCACAUCGGCAACCGGGGUCGAAAACGUGGGUGAUCGUCCCAAGCUGUGAAAAUGGCCUUCGGACCCGUUUUCAGCCAAGAAAAUGAAUGCUAUAGGUCACGGGAGCCCGAAUACGGUCACACUAGCCACCGGGGUCGAAAACAUGGGGGAUGGUCCGAAGUCGUGAAAAUGGCCUCCGGACCCAUUUUCAGCUGUGAAAACCUGGGCUAUAGGUCACGAGAGUCCGAAUACGGUCACACAGGCAUCCGGGGUCGAAAACGUGGGGGAUGGUCUGAAGCCGUGAAAUUGUCCUCUGGACCUGUUUUCUGCUAGGAAAACGUGUGCGGUCACGGGAGCCCGAAUAUGGUAACACGGACAACUUGGGUCGAAAACGUGGGGGAUGGUCCAAAGCCGUGAAAAUGGCCUCCGGACCCGUUUUCUGCUAGAAAAACGUGUGUGGUCACGAGGGCCCGAAUAUGGUAACACCGACAACGAGGGUCGAAAACGUGGGGGAUGGUCCGAAGUCGUGAAAAUGGCCUCCGGACCCGUUUUCGGCCGUGAAAACGUGGGCUAUAGGUGACGAGAGCCCGAAUACGGUCACACCGGCAUCCGGGGUCGAAAACGUGGGGGAUGGUCUGAAGCCGUGAAAAUGGCCUCCGGACGCAUUUUCUGCAAGGAAAACGUGUGCUAUAGGUCACGGGAGCCCGAAUACGAUCACACUUACAACCGGGGUCGAAAACGUGGGUAAUGUUCCCAAGCCGUGAAAAUGGCUUCCGGACCCUUUUUCUGCUAGGAAAAUGUGUGCUAUAGGUCACGGGAGCCCGAAUACGAUCACACUUACAACCGGGGUCGAAAACGUGGGCGAUGGUCGGAAGCCGUGAAAAUGGCCUCCGGACCCGUUUUCGGCCGUGAAAACGUGUGCUAUAGGUCAUGGGAGCCCGAACAUGGUAACACCGACAACCGGGGUCGAAAACGUGGGGGAUGGUCCGAAGCUGUGAAAAUGGCCUCCGGACCCGUUUUAUGCAAGGAAAACGUGUGCUAUAGGUCAUGGGAGCUCGAAUACGAUCAAACCGACAACUGGGGUCGAAAACGUGGGGGAAGGUCAAAAGCCGUGAAAAUGGCCUCCGGAACCGUUUUCGGCCGUGAAAACGUGUGCUAUAAGUCAUGGGAGCCCGAACAUGGUAACACCGACAACUGGGGUUGAAAACGUGGGGAUGGUCCGAAGCCAUGAAAAUGGCCUCCGGACCCAUUUUCGGCCGUGAAAACAUGUGCUAUAGGUCACGGGAGCCCGAAUACCGUCACACAGGCAUCCGGGGUCAAACACGUGGGGGAUGGUCCGAAGCCGUGAAAAUGGCCUCCGGACCCGUUUUCUGCCAAGAAAAUUAGUGCUAUAGGUCACGGGAGCCCGAAUACGGUCAACCGGCAUCCCGGGUCGAAAACGUGGGGGAUGGUCCGAAGCCGUGAAAUUAGCCUCCGGACCCGUUUUCCACCAAGAAAAUGUGUGCUAUAGGUCACGCGAGCCCGAAUACGGUUACACCCACAACCGGGGUCGAAAACGUGGGGGAUGGUCCGAAGCCGUAAAAAUGGCCUUCAGACCCAUUUUCGGCCAUGCAAACGUGUGCUAUAGGUCACGGGAGCCCGAGUACGGUCACACAGCCAUCCGGGGUCGAAAAUGUGAGGGAUGGUCCGAAGCCGUGAAAUUGGCCUCCGGACCCGUUUUCUGCAAGGAAAACGUGUGCGGUCACGGGAGCCCGAAUAUGGUAACACGGACAACUAGGGUCGAAAACGUGGGGGACGGUUUGAAGCCGUGAAAAUGGCCUCCGGACCCAUUUUCGGCUGUGAAAACGUGGGCUAUAGGUCAAGAGAGUCCGAAUACAGUCACACCGGCAUCCGGGGUCGAAAAUGUGGGGGAUUGUCCGAAGCCGUGAAAAUAGCCUCCGGACCCGUUUUCCGCUAGGAAAACGUGUGCUAUAGGUCACGGGAGCCCGAAUAUGGUCACACGGACAACCGGGGUCGAAAACGUGGGGGAUGGUCCGAAGCCGUGAAAAUGGCCUUCGGACCCGUUUUCGGCCGUGAAAACAUGUGCUAUAGGUCACGGGAGCCCGAAUACCGUCACACACCGGCAUCCGAGGUCAAACACAUGGGGGAUGGUCCGAAGCCGUGAAAAUGGCCUCCGAACCCGUUUUCGGCCAAGAAAAUGAGUGCUAUAGGUCACGGGAGCCCGAAUACGGUCACACCGGCAUCCGGGGUCGAAAACGUGGGGGAUGGUCCGAAGCAGUGAAAAUGGCCUCCGAACCCAUUUUCUGCCGUGAAAAUGUGUGCUAUAGGUCACGGGAGCCCGAAUAUGGUAACACCGACAACCGAGGUCGAAAACGUGGGGGAUGGUCCGAAGCCGUGAAAAUGGCCUCCAGACCCGUUUUCGGCCGUGAAAACAUGUGCUAUAGGUCACGGGAGCCCGAAUACGGUCACAGCGGCAUCCGGGGUCAAAAACGUGGGGGAUGGUCCGAGGCCGUGAAAAUGGCCUCCGGACCCGUUUUCCGCAAAGAAAAUGAGUGCUAUAGGUCACGCGAGCCCGAAUACGGUAACACCGACAACCGAGGUCGAAAACGUGGGGGAUGGUCCGAAGUCGUAAAAAUGGCCUCCGGACCCGUUUUCGGCCGUGAAAACAUGUGCUAUCGGUCACGGGAGCGCGAAUACGGUCACACCGCCAACCUGGGUCGACAACAUGGGGGGUGGUCCGAAGCCGUGAAAACGGCCUCCGGACCCGUUUUCGGCCGUGAAAACGUGGUCUAUAGGUCAUGAGAGCCCGAAUACGGUCACACCGGCAUCCGGGGUCGAAAACGUGGGGAAUGGUCCGAAGCCGUGAAAACGGCCUUCGGACCCGUUUUCUGCCAAGAAAACAUGUGCUGUAGGUCACGGUAGCCCGAAUACAGUAACACCGACAACCGGUGUCGAAAACGUGCGGGAUGCUCCAAAGCCGUGAAAAUGGCCUCCAGACCCGUUUUCUGCUAGGAAAAUGUGUGCUAUAGGUCACGGGAGCCUGAAUACAGUCACACCGCCAACCGGGGUCGAAAACAUGGCGGAUGGUCCGAAGCCGUGAAAACGGCCUCCGGACCCGUUUUCGGCCGUGAAAACAUGUGCUAUAGGUCACAAGAGCCCGAAUACGGUCACAGCGGCAUCCGGGGUCGAAAAUGUGGGGAAUGGUCCGAAGCCGUGAAAAUGGCCUCCGGACCUAUUUUCUGCCAAGAAAACGUGUGCUAUAGGUCACGGGAGCCCGAAUACGGUAACACCGACAACCGGUGAAAAAAACGUGGCGGAUGCUCCAAAGCCGUGAAAAUGGCCUCCGGACCCGUUUUCUGCUAGGAAAACUUGUGCUAUAGGUCACGGGAGCCCGAAUACGGUCACACCGACAACCGGGGUCGAAAACGUAAGGGAUGGUCCGAAGCCGCGAAAAUGGCCUCCGGACCCAUUUUCGGCCGUGAAAACGUCUGCUAUAGGUCACGGGAGCCCGAAUACGGUCACACCGGCAUCCGGGGUCGAAAACGUGGGGGGUGGUCCGAAGCCGUAAAAAUGGCCUCCGGACCCGUUUUCGGCCGUGAAAAGGUGUGCGGUCACGGGAGCCCGAAUAUGGUAACACCGACAGCCGAGGUCGAAAACGUGGGGGAUGGCUCGAAGCCGUGAAAAUGGCCUCCGGACCCGUUUUCGGCUGUGAAAACGUGUGCUAUAGGUCACGGGAGCCCGAAUACGAUCACAGCGGCAUCCGGGGUCAAAAACGUGGGGGAUGGUCCGAAGCCGUGAAAAUGGCCUCCGGACCCGUUUUCCGCAAAGAAAAUGAGUGCUAUAGGUCACGCGAGCCCGAAUACGGUAACACCGACAACCGAGGUCGAAAACGGGGGGGAUGGUCCGAAGUCGUAAAAACGGCCUCCGGACCCGUUUUCGGCCGUGAAAACGUGUGCUAUAGGUCACGGGAGCGCGAAUAUGGUCACACCGCCAACCGGGGUCGAAAACAUGGGGGAUGGUCCGAAGCCGUGAAAAGGGCCUCCGGACCCGUUUUCGACCGUGAAAACUUGUGCUAUAGGUCGCGAGAGCACGAAUACGGUCACACCGGCAUCCGGGGUCGAAAACGUGGGGAAUGGUCCGAAGCCGUGAAAAUGGCCUCCGGACCUGUUUUCUGCCAAGAAAACGUGUGCUAUAGGUCACGGGAGCCCGAAUACGGUAACACCGACAACCGGUGUUGAAAACGUGGGGGAUGCUCCAAAGCCGUGAAAAUGGCCUCCGGACCCGGUUUCUGCUAGGAAAACGUGUGCAAUAGGUCACGGGAGCCCGAAUACGGUCACACCGACAACCGGGGUCGAAAACGUGGGGGGUGGUCCGAAGCCGUGAAAAUGGCCUUCGGACCAGGUUUCGGCCAAGAAAAUGUGUGCUAUAGGUCACGGGAGCCCGAAUACGGUCACAUCGGUAACCGGGGUCUAAAACACGGGUGAUCGUCCGAAGCCGAAAAAACUUCCUCAGGACCCAUUUUUGGCCAAGAAAUUGUAUGCCAUAGGUCACGGGAGACCGAAUACGGUCACACCGGAACCGGGGUCGAAAAUGUGGGGAAUGUCCGAAGCCGUAAAAAUGGCCUCCGGACCCGUUUUCGGUUGUGAAAAUGUGUGCUAUAGGUCACGGGAGCCCGAAUAUGGUCACACCGGCCACCGGGGUCGAAAACGUGAGGGAUGGUCCGUAGCCGUGAAAAUAGCCUCCGGACUCGUUUUUGGCAAUGAAAACCUAUGCUAUAGGUCAUGGGAGCCUGAAAACGGCCACACCAUCAAUCGGGGUCAAAAAUGUGGGGGGUGGUCCGAAUCCGUGAAAAUGGCCACCAGACCCAUUUUCGACCGUGAAAACGUGUGCUAAAGGUCACGGGAGCCCGAAAACAGCCACACUGGUCACCGGGGUCGAAAACCUGGGGGAUGGUAUGAAGCAUUAAAAAUAUACUCCGGACCCGUUUUCGGCCAUGAAAACGUGGGCUAUAGGUCACGGGUGCCCGAAUACGGUCACACCGGCAUCUGGGGUUGAAAACGUGGGGGAUGGUCCGAAGCCGUGAAAUUUGCCUCCGGACUCGUUUUCCACCAAGGAAAUGUGUGCUAUAGGUCACGGGAGCCCGAAUACGAUCACACCGAUAACUGGGGUCGAAAACGUGGGGGAUGGUCGGAAGCCGUGAAAAUGGCCUCCGAACCCGUUUUCGGCCGCGAAAAUGUGUGCUAUAGGUCACGGGAGCCCGAAUAUCGUAACACCGAGAACCGGGGUCGAAAACGUGGGGGAUGGUCCGAAGCCAUGAAAAUGGCCUCCGGACCCGUUUUCAACCGUGAAAACAUGUGCUAUAGGUCACGGGAGCCCGAAUACGGUCACACCAGCAUCUGGGGUUGAAAACGUGGGGGAUGGUCCGAAGCCGUGAAAUUGGCCUCCGGUUCGUUUUCCACCAAGAAAAUGUGUGCUAUAGGUCACGGGAGCCCGAAUACGGUUACACCGACAACAGGGGUCGAAAACGUGGGGGAUGGUCGGAAGCAAUGAAAAUGGCCUCCGGACCCGUUUUCGGCCGUGAAAACAUGUGCUAUAGGUCACGGGAGCCCGAAUACGGUCACACCGGCAUCCGGGGUCGAAAACGUGGGGGAUGGUCCGAAGCCGUGAAAAUGGCCUCUUGACCCGUUUUCUUCCAAGAAAACGUGUGCUAUAGGUCACGGGAGACUGAAUACGGUCACACCGGCAACCGGUGUCGAAAACGUGGGGAAGGUCCGAAAUCGUGAAAAUGGCAUCCGACCCGUUUUCUUCAAAGAAAAUGUGAGCUAUAGGUCACCGGAGCCCGAAUACAGUCACACCGGGAACCGGGGUGGAAAACGUGGGUGAUCGUCCCAAGCUGUAAAAAUGGCCUCCGGACCCGUUUUCUGCCAAGAAAAUGUGUGCUAUAGGUCACGGGAGCCUGAAUACGGUCACACCAGCCACCGGGGUCGAAAACGUGGGGGAUGGUCCGAAGCCGUGAAAAUGGCCUUCGGACCCGUUUUGUGCUAGGAAAACGUGUGCUAUAGGUCACGGGAGCCCGAAUAUGGUAACACCGACAACCGGGGUCGAAAACGUGGGGGGUGGCCCGAAGCCGUAAAAAUGGCCUUCGGACCCUUUUUCGACCGUGAAAACAUGUGCUAUAGGUCAGGGGAGCCCGAAUACGGUCACACCGGCAUCCGGGGUCAAACACGUGGGGGAUGGUCCGAAGCUGUGAAAAUGGCCUCCGGACCCGUUUUCUGCCAAGAAAAUGAGUGCUAUAGGUCACGGGAGCCCGAAUACGGUAACACCGACAACAGGGGUCGAAAACGUGAGGGAUGGUCCAAAGCCGGAAAAAUGGCCUCCGGACCCGUUUUUGGCCGUGAAAACGUGUGCUAUAGGUCAUGGGAGCCCGAAUACGAUCACACCGGCAUCCGGGGUCGAAAACGUGGGGAAUGGUCCGAAGCCGUGAAAAUGGCCUCCGGACCCAUUUUCUGCCAAGAAAACGUGUGCUAUAGGUCACGGGAGCCUAAAUUUGGUAACACCGCCAACCGGGGUCGAAAACGCGGGGGAUGGUCCGAAGCCGUGAAAACGGUCUCCGGACACAUUUUCGGCCGUGAAAACGUGGGCUAUAGGUCACGAGAGCCCGAAUACGGUCACACCGGCAUCCGGGGUCGAGAACGUGGGGGAUGGUCCAAAGCCGUGAAAGUGGCCUCCGGACCCGUUUUCGGCCGUGAAACCGUCUGCUAAAGGUCACGGGAGCCCGAAUACGGUCACACCGGCAUGCGGGGUCGAAAACGUGGGGGAUGGUCCGAAGCCGUGAAAUUGGCCUCCGGACCCGUUUUCCACCAAGAAAAUGUGUGCUAUAGGUCAUGGGAGCCCGAAUACGGUUACACCGACAACCGGGGUCGAAAACGUGGGGGAUGGUCCGAAGCUGUAAAAAUAGCCUCCGGACCCAUUUUCGGCCAUGCAAACGUGUGCUAUAGGUCACGGCACCCGAGUACGGUCACAUAGGUAUCCGGGGUCGAAAACGUGGGGGAUGGUCCGAAGCCGUGAAAAUGGCCUCCAGACCCGUUUUCUGCUAGGAAAAACGUGUGCGGUCAUGGGAGCCCGAAUAUGGUAACACGGACAACAGGCGUCGAAAACGUGGGGGAUGGUCCGAAGCCGUGAAAAUGGCCUCCGGACCUAUUUUCGGCUGUGAAAACGUGGGCUAUAUGUCACGAGAGUCCGAAUACGGUCACACCGGCAUCCGGUGUCGAAAACGUGGGGGAUGGUCCGAAACCGUGAAAAUGGCCUCGGGACCCAUUUUCUGCUAGGAAAAAGUGUGCGGUCACGGGAUCCCGAAUAUGGUAACACCGCCAACCGGGGUCGAAAACGUGGGGGAUGGUCCGAAGCCGUGAAAACGGCCUCCGAACAUGUUUUCGGUUGUGAAAACGUGGGCUAUAGGUCACGAGAGCCCGAAUACAGUCACACCGGCAUCCGGGGUCGAAAACGUGGGGAAUGGUCCGAAUCCGUGAAAAUGGCCUCCGGACCUGUUUUCUGCCAAGAAAACGUGUGCUAUUGGUCACGGGAGCCUGAAUACGGUAACACCGCCAACCGGGGUCGAAAACGUGGGGAUGAUCCGAAGCCGUGAAAACAGCCUCCGGAGACGUUUUUCGGCCGUGAAAACGUGGGCUAUAGGUCACGAGAGCCCGAAUACGGUCACAACCGGCAUCUGGGGUCGAAAACGUGGGGGAUGGUCCAAAGCCGUGAAAAUGGCCUUCGGACCCGGUUUUCGGCCAAGAAAACGUGUGCUAUAGGUCACCGGAGCCCGAAUAUAGUCACACACCGGCAACCGGGGUCGAAAACGUGGGUGAUCGUCCCAAGCUGUGAAAAUGGCCUUCGGACCCGUUUUUGGCCAAGAAAACGUGUGCUAUAGGUCACGGGAGACCGAAUACGGUCACACCAGCCAUCGGGGUCGAAAACGUGGGGGAUGGUCCGAAGCCGUGAAAAAUGGCCUCCGGACCCGCUUUCUGCUUGGAAAACGUGUGCUAUAGGUCACAGGAGCCCGAAUAUGGUAAACACCGAGAACCGGGGUCGAAAACGUGGGGGAUGGUCCGAAGCCAUGAAAAUUGCCUCCGGACCCGUUUUCGACCGUGAAAACAUGUGCUACAGGUCACGGGAGCCCGAAUACGGUCACACCGGCAGCCGAGGUCGAAAACGUGGGGGAUGGUCCGAUGCCGUGAAAAGUGCCUCCGGUUCGUUUUCCACCAAGAAAAUGUGUGCUAUAGGUCACGGGAGCCCGAAUACGGUUACACCGACAACCGGGGUUGAAAACGUGGGGGAUGGUCCGAAGCCAUGAAAAUGGCCUCCGGACCCGUUUUCGGCUGUGAAAACAUGUGCUAUAGGUCACGGGAGCCCGAAUACGGUCACACCGGCAUCUGGGGUUGAAAAC